UUAGCAAAAAAGUACUUAGCCUUUUAUACCAUGCUUUUGGAGCUUGCUUGAGAUCAUAAAGUGCUUUAGAAAGUUUGAACGCAUGAUUUGGAUAAGAGAAAUUUUCAAAACCAGGAGGUUUCUUGACAUAAACCUCUUAAUGAAUGUAACCAUUUACGAAGGCACAUUUUACAACCAUUUGAUAUACUUUAAAACAUUUGAAUACAACAAAGGAUAAUAGAAUUUGAAUAGAUUCAAACCUUGCUACGGGAGCAAUGGUUUCAUCAUAAUCUAUACUUUUUUUAGAGUAACCUUGAGCUACUAAUCUGGCUUUAUUUUGGAUAAACUUACUUUCCUCACUUAGUUUAUUUCUGUAGACCCUUCUGGUUUCGACAACUGAACAGCUCUUUGUUCAUUCAACGAGUCUCCAUACUUGAUUUCUUUUAAACUUUACUAGUUCCUCUUUCAUAACAUCAACCCAAAACUCAUCCUGAAGUGCCUCAUCAACCUUUUUGGGCUCAAUUUGAGACACAAGAGUAGUAAAUACUUGAUUUCUUAAUAAAUCUCUUGUAUAAAUAUUAUCAUCUGGAUUUCCAACGAUAAAUUCACUUGGAAAACUUGUAUUGUGUCUUCAUUCUCUAAGAAUGUUAGUUUUAGUUGAUUCAUUAGCAGAAGCUAGCUCUGGAUUAACUGUAGUCGACUCAUCAAUUAAUAGUUCAGGAGUUGUAUUUGCUUUGACUCCUGGCUGUAGAUCAUUUACCUACUCUUCAUCAAAUCUCAACCUCAUAGAAUAGUGAUUAGUUUCAUCAAAUACAAUAUGCAUAGAUUCUUCAACGCUUAGAGUUCACUUAUUAUAGGCUUUGUAAGCAAGACUAGUUAGAGAGUACCGAAGAAAAUACCUUUGGCACUUCAUGGGUUGAAUUUCCCUAAAUUAUUCUUAUCGUUGUUAUGGAUGAAUCACUUGCAUCCAAAUGAAUGAACGUAACAAAUAUUAGGCUUUUCCCCUCUCCAUAACUCAUAAGAGGUCUUCUUUAUAAUUGGUCUAAAAAGGUAUCUGUUAAUUGUGUGGCAUCUUGUGCUUACUGCUUCUACCCAAAAGUGAUCGGGUAAGUUGUGUUUUAGCAGCAUAGUUCUUGCAGUUUCUUGAAGAGAUCCAUUUUGUUGAGAAGAUCGAGGGGAUGAGAAGUUUUGUGAGUAGCCGUUUUGAGCACAGUAUUCCUCAAAGGCUUUGUUUUCAAAUUCUCUUUUAUGAUCACUGUGAACAUGGGUGAGGAAGUGUCCUUCUCUCUGUACUCUUUUACAAAAGAUCUAAAAAUUUGUAAAGGCCUCAUGCUUAUGAGCGAGAAACAUUAACCAAGUAAAACGAGAAUAAUCAUCAACAAUAACAAAGACAUAUCUUUUGCACCAAUACUUCUGAUUUUAGUGGGGCUAAACAGAUCCAUGUAGAUUGUUUGAUGAGGUUUGGUGGUAGUGACAAUGUCUUUGUCUUUAAAUGUGUCCGAGUCUAAUUACCCAGUUGGCAAGCAUCACGGAUGUAAUCCUUUUCAAACUUAAGUUUUGGCAGACCUUUCACCAGUUCAAGUCUUGAGAGUUUCUCGAUGAUAUGCAUACUGGCAUGCCCAAGCUUUUUGUGCCACUACCAAGUGUCAUUGGUUUGCACAGUGUGACAAGUUAUAGUAGAAAAUUUAUGAUUAUUCAAAACAUAAAUAUUGUCAAAAUGUUCACUGAUAAGAGAAAUGUCUCUUUUUUUAUGUUUGAUGGAGCAACUUUCAGCUUUGAAGGAGACUCCAAAUCCUGCGUCACACAGUUGACUGAUACUAAGAAGGUCGUGUUUAAGUCCUUCUACUAUAUAUACUUCAAUAAGUUUGCAUGAGGAGUUGAGCUUCACUGAUUCGAUUCUAAUAAUGUCACCUUUGGCGUUAUCACCAAACCUGACUAAUCAUCCUUCUAUUUGUUUUAAAGAGGAAAAAUUUUCUUUUUUUUCAAUCAUGUGUUUGAAACAUCCAUUGUCGAUAACACACAUUCCUUUCUUAUAGAUUUUGCAGAUGUGUCCCUACAAAAUAGGUAAAUCAGUUUUUCUUAGGUACACAAGUGGUCUUGGGUCCUUAAUAGUUAGAUGAAUUUCUUUUGGGUCUCCAAAUCCACAUGCCUUUAGAUGUUUGUCUACAGUUAUGUGAUUUGUUCCCCUUUUUACCACCGGUGUAGCAGAUUGCUCCUCAAAAAGAAAAGGAAGUUUUAUCCAAUUUAAAUGAACUUGUUGAGGAACUUUAUUUUAUUUUAAAAGAGUUAGAACUUAUGGAGCUCUGACUUGGUGAUGUUCUAAUUUUGUUUAAUUGCAUUUUCACAUCAUCAAGUUUUUCAUGAAGUAGGUCAGUUUUAAUUUGACAUGCUUUAAGUUCAACUUGCCAGUUCUUUCUUUCCUUUUCAAGCUUUCAUUUCUAACCUAGCUUCCUAGUUUUUAUUUUCUUUAGCUAAUUUAUUGUAUUCAUCAAUAACUUUUUGAAGCUUGUCAGUAAUCAUAUUAAGAUUUGUUUGAAGAAUGUUGCAAUUAUGACAAUUAUAGGGUCUUACCUUACUUGAUUCACAUUUUUCCAUAAAGCACAUAUUGGCCGCCUUUGUCUCUUCUUUUAUUUUAUCUUCAUCACUCCAUGCCCCAAAGUUUUAAUUUUUAUGGAUGAUCUUUUCCUCAAUUCUAGAAAAUUUUGUUUAAUGCAACCCGACUUUCCAGAGUAACAGCAACAAUCAUCAUUCCCUGUGAAUCUAUUAUUAUUGAAUCCUUGUGGUCUCUAUUUCCUUUACUUCAGGAUUUGUCUUACUCCACAAUUUAUAUGAGCCAUACCUUCACUGUUUUCCUCUUUAAGUGAUUCUUCUUCUCCAUGUGUUACAACAUUAAAGGCCACUAGUUUCUUCUUUUUUUCUUGUUGUACCUAUUUAUAUAAUUUUGUUCAUAGGAAAUGAGAUUACCUUAUAGUUUGCCAUAGGUCAUAUUGUGAAGAUCUUCAACUUCUAGAAUGGCAUCUUUGGUCUCCCAUGCUUUUGGGAGGCAAAUUUUUUAACUUUCAAACUGUGUGAAUAGAUUAUUUCCAAUGACUUCAGUUCACAUACAAUCUUACUGAAUUUAGCAGACAUUGAUUCCGCACUUUCAUUCUCUUCCAUUUUGAAGAUCUCGUACUCAUUGACCAAUGAACUAAUUUUUGCCUUUUUGACUUUGGUGGUUCUUUCAUAGGUUACUUAUAUUUUGUCCCACAUUUCUUUUACAGUUUUAUAGGUUGAUAUCUUUUCAUACUCUUCACUGCUAACUGCACAAAGAAGCAAACUUAUAGCUCUUACAUUAUUUUUGAUUACCUCCUGUUGUUCCUUGGUGACUUUAAAGUUUUCAAAGUCCUCUACAUCAAUACUGCUUGAUUCCUUGUACUUCUAUUUUUCUUUAAUUCUUGGAAUAGGCUUUGGUCCCUUCUUAAUGACGAUCCACACUUGGAAGUCAUUUGACUGAACAAAGAUCUUGAAUUUAUUAUUCCAAUAGGAGUAGUGUUGUCGAUUGAAAUAUGGUGGUCUUGUGAAGGAAUGACCGUCUUAAAGAAGAGAUCCUGGAAUUUGAUAGUUUGCCAUUGGAUCUUUACUCAUGUUUGGUUAAGCAACACUAUUAGUGAAACCUUCUCUAAUACCAAUUGAAAGUCAAGGAGAAGGGGGGUAAAUUGAAAUUUCUUGAGUCGAGUAGUAGAGUUAGGCAGUCGAAUCUCCUACAAGCAGAUACAUUUAAGCAAAACAAAGUUAAGAUUAACCAUGCAAUUAAAUAAAUAACAACCCGAGGUUCAGUAUUCAUAUCUCACUUUUGGAAGGAUUUUCAAGAGGAUUUGGGUACUCGAGUUGAUCUUAGUAUAAUAUUUCACCCCCGGACAGAGGUCAGUUGGGGAGGACUAUUUAGGUUUUGGAGGAUAUGCUUCGCCCUUAUAUGAUGGACUUUGGAAGUUAGUAGGAGCAGCAUCUAGCUUUGGCAAAGUUUGCAUAUAAUAGUAGCUACCAUUCCAACAUUGAGAUGGCUCCUUUUGAGGCUUUGUAUAGUAGGCGAUAUCGCUCUCCAAUGGGUUGGUUUGAGUUUUCUGAGAUUAGACCUCAAGGUAUGGACUUAUUUUGUGAGUCCUUGGAUAGAUUUUGGGUCAUCCAAGAUAGACUUUGAGCGACUUAGAGUAGGAAGAAGUGUUAUGUAGACCGUAGACUUAGUGCCCUGAGAUUUAGUGUUGGUGAUCGUGUCUUUCUUCGUGUGUCGCCCAUAAAGGGCGUGAUGAGAUUUGGGAAGAGGGGAAAGCUUAGACCCAGGUAUAUUGGAUCUUUUGAAAUCUUUCGAACUAUUGGGGAUAUAGUUUAUGAGUUAGCAUUACCUCCAGAUUUAUCAGAUUUUUAUCUAGUUUUUCAUGUUUCUAUGUCGACAUUUUAUUCCAGACAAGUCUUAUGUUAUUCAUUAGGAUUCAGUUAGUUAGAUGAGCGGUUGUCUUUUGUUGAGGAGUAUGUCUCCAAUCUAGCCAGGGAUGUUAGACGAUUGCAUUCUAGAGUUAUUCAUGUAGUUAAGGUCAAGUAGAGGCAUCGAUCUGUAAAUGAUUCUACAUUGGAGGUUGAGUCUAAUAUGUGUAGUAGUUAUCCCCAACUUUUUGUUGAUUUGGGUAUUUCUAUUGCCUUGAGUUUGAGGACAAACUAAAUUCUUAGUAAUGGAUUAAGUAAUGACCUAAUUUUUGAUGAUUUGUGUAAAAUAUUUAUUUUUGUGUGAUUUGACCAUUUUUUCUCUCCCCGUGGUUGCAUUGUUGUAUUACUGGGGGAGGGGAUGAUUGGCACAGUUCCCAAUACAUUUCAUGAUUUGUACGAGAUUGUAGUUUAAUGGUUUUAAAGGCUUAUUAGUUGACUUUAGUCAAUAUUUUUUUGAUCUACCUGUCGGAUGGCAAAACGAACUGCGCCAGCAGAUCCGAAACAUUAAUUUUGGGUUGGUAACAUAGGUGGUAUAGUUUUACGGCUUUUGUUUCUCAUUUUGACCUCCCAUGUGAAAAGUUGUGACAAUAGGUUUCGGGGGUCAAUUUUGUGGAAACAAUAUUUUUUUCAAAAAUAUGAUGUCGCCAUUAAGUCUAGAGUAUUGAAUUUGAUAAGGUAUCAUAGUUCAUUUGCAUUCUCGGGAUUUUGGAUGAAUCUCGAGGGACCGCGGAGACUUUAAAUUUCCAAGUGUCGAUAGUUGGAGCAACCGCUAAAGCGCCACUUGGCUGCUUUAGUGGUCGGCUACCAACUGGGCAAGGGCAUUUUAGCAGCCCUCAUCCGCUUUAGCGAAGAAUGCUAAAGCGGUCCUUACCCGCUUUACCAAACUGGCUCGCAUUGGUAGGUAUCUCUUAAGCGGUACUUUAUAGCUUUAGAGGUCAUUUGACCGCUCAACCUAGCACCUGGUAUAUAAAAUUAUUUUCUCAUUUUCUUCAUUAUUUUUUAGGCCUGGAGCUUGGGUUUUAAGUUUUUAAGCUACUUUUUUCAUUUUUAUCUUGGGUAAGCUCCAAAACCCUAUUUUAAUUAUUUUUCUUCAAUUUGUAUCAUUAAAACCUUGUUAAAACAUGAAUUCAAAGAUGAAAAUUGAGAAUUUUGGUUUGAAAGGCCUAAAUUAAUCAUUCUUCAAUUUAAACCCCAAUUUCAAAUUAUUUUUGCUUGGGUUUUCUCCUCAUAGCUCCUUUAAUCAUGGAAAAUAUAUUUUCGGACAAAAAUUCUAAUUUUACUCUUUUUUUGUGAACCACGGCUCCAUUUUAACACCGAUCCAAAAAUGGACAUGGUAUUGCUGGCUUUCUUUUGAUGCGUAGUUUUUAUAUUUUUAUGUUUUAGUUAAUUGCGGGUCCAUUCAUAAGGGAUAAGCACAAGUUGAAGGCUUGUUUGUAACAAAUUUCAGCAUUUGAGGUAGGUUAUGGCUUAACUUCCUUUAGACUGGGAUGGGUAGCAAAUAGUGGUAUAAAAUUAUGUUAUGGGUAUGAGGAUCAAUCAUGAAAAUAAAGUUGUUACUGUGUUAUGCCCGUGUGGGGGCCUGUAUUAUUGUUAUUUAGUGGUUUUGAGACAUUAUCUGUUAUGUAUGACUGUGUGGAAUCUAACAUGAUGAUAUUGGCCUAAUAUUUAAAUAAUUGGGUGUUAUCUUUGGUGGAAAAUUGUCUAAAUUGAUAAUUGUGUGGUAUCAAAUAUGGUACAUCUUACUUUAUUGGUAUGUGGAUUAUGUUGGACCGUGAAUGACUGGUUUAUUGAGUAGAUUUUUGGCUCACACACUUUGUAUAUUGGUAGGAAUUGGAAAUUAUCAUUUGGCUGAUUAUGAGCAUUUCAUCCUCAUAUCAUAUUCAUUCAUGAAACAUUGGUACCACUGUGGAAAUACUGAAAAUACUGGUCUGUGACAUCAAUAUGGACCCUCUCCGAGGGAUGUGCCAGAGAGGAGUCGUGGAUAUUGUUAUUGGUUAUUAGAUUGUAUAUGGAUUGAUGAACCCCUUAUGGGUCCCAUGUGGCGCAUAGCUCGGUAGGUAUAUAUGGAGGUUGUACGACAACCUCAUGCAUUAUAUUACAUCAUCAUUGUCAUUAUCAUCAUCAUAUUCAUUGCAUUUCAUAUGUUAUUGUUGCUCAUUCUAUGUAGCAUUAUUGUCUUGAUGUGAUAUUUGUGUAUGUGUACGUCUUCUCAUAUCUAUAGGUGCUAUAUCUAUAUACUUGUAUUUUCUUUCUCAUGUUUGCAUGUGGUAUAUGUGAAUAUGGAAGAACUAUUAGUGGAAACAGUGUGGGCUAUCGUUUAGGAUAUUUUUUAUUGUAGGUGACAUACCCUAGUGUGUAUUUUGUAUGCUUUAUUUUCUACUAUGCCCAAUCGAUCUAUGAUACCUACUAAGUACAAGUGGACAUACUCACCCCUACGAUGCUCUUUCAGUGCAGAUCCAGGUACAAGUGCGCGCACGGCAAUUGAUUCGGGUGAUACUUGGAGUCUAUUUGAGGUAGCAGUUAAUCUAUGCAUCUGGAGUUGACUACUGCCUUUUCCUUAUCUAAACUAUGUCCUUUUUGUAUUCAGAGAUAGAUUUGUUUCUUUUUGGACAUGUCACAUAUAUUUUAACUUCGAGUUGUAUUAGUUAGUUCUUAUACUGUGACACCAAGUUGUGAAAAUGUGAUUUGGUAUCUUGACAGUAUUUUUUUGCUAUUAUCAUAUUUGUGUGGUUUGACUCUGUUUUAAGAGUCUUGCCUUAGAUUUUUGUAUUAUCUUUCAUUUCAUAAUAAUUUUAGUGAUAGGCUUACUUGUCAAGUCUUGCCGCGACAAGUACCAUCAUGGCCCUUGGCUUUUUAGUCGUGACAGUGGUGCCAAGUGAAAACUGAUAUCAUGAAUUAUUUAUACAUUAAGUUGAUUUUGAUCUCGCUUACACAUGUAUUAAAUGAAUUUUGAUCUUCAUACUGAUUGGUUGUUACAUCUUUAUAUCGGGCAUGCAUAUUCACUAUACAUUGGUACCACUGAGACAUUCUGAUUUUGUAAGAAAAUGAGAAACUUUAUAAAAUGUCUAUACCGAGGGAUGUGCUGAUAAGGUUGAUCUGAGACAUGACAUUAAGAUUAUAAGAGUAUAUGGGUUGCGAAUCCCCCAUAAAUCCUAUCUUAGGAGCACUGAUUUUAAUUUUUAUUUUAAAUUAAAAGAUCUUAGGAGCACUGAGGCUCGGUAAGUAUAUAAAUAAAGUCAUGCGACAGCUUUCAAUCAUUCAUGAUCAUCAUCACAUUGCAUUGCAUGACAUUUUCUUGGUAUGGUUUGAUAUUAUUGUUGAGUGCUUGCUUUUAUAUUUAAUUAUCAUAAUUGAACCUUGUUUGCGAUAUUGUGUAUUAAAUAUUCAUUUCACUUUGUUAUAUCGUGUUAUUCUACUUCUUGUAUGAUUUGGGAAUUGAGGUAUACAUGAGAUGUAGGGUGUGACUACAACUUGAUUAGUGAGACAUGUCAUGUCGUACCUAGUGGUAGCGUGACAUUCACAUACUUGUACACUCUAACUACUUUAUCAUAGGUUAUUGACUAAACAUGAUAAUUGAGCCUGAUAUACCAUGUUAGUAAGUCUUCCUUACAAAUAUUUUUCUAUUUUUGUUGCUCAUAAAAUGGCUUGUGUUGACUCAUCUAGAAUUAUACGCCUACUCUAUUUAUGGACGAUGUUAUGACUGUUGUAUUGGGUUAUCGUAUUAGGAUGAAGUGGAAAAUUUAAUGGCUAUGGAUCAUUUGGAGAAACCUUGGUAGUUGGGGUGGUGGUUCUCUCUAUCGCUUUGGAUUAGGAUUGGUUAUCGAUGAUACUUGCUGAGUACACGUGGUUUUCAUACUUACUCUUGCUUUUCUUUCGUUUUCUUAUUUUUUUCACCCCGUGCAGGUAUUGGUUCAAUUGGUAGAUGUUCCUUUGGAGUUGACGUUGCAAAGAUCGAGGUAGUGGGUGAUGGUGAGUUUAUUCUCUCUUCUUCCAUUUCUAUAUUACCAUAAUUGUAAAUUUGGAUUGGGAUAGGUUUACCUGUGCCGAGGGUGUGAUAGCUGUCAUCACGUGCCUAUUUUGGUCAUGAAAAAAAAGUAUCAAAUCUAUGUAAGCAAACAUAAGUAAGAAUUUAAUAGACAAUCAAGGUUGUACGAAAACCAUAACCUCCUAUUAAGAGAAACCUAUACUAUCGGGACACUCCCAAGAGUAAUGAUAUCCUCAAGCAAGUAAUCUCAUCAAUAUUCGAUAGCAACAAAGACCUUAGUCAUGUCUCACAAGAGUUUCACUCUUUAAAUUCGACAUAUCAAAAUAGUCUAAGUCUAAAAUAAAUUAUUCUUCCUUAUUUAUAGCCUAUACUAAUAUUACAAAAAUACCUUUAAGGAAAUAAGAGUCUUUAGCAUGAGGGUUGAAUGUUAAGAAUAGUUACUUUGCGUAAAUAAGAGUCUUUAGCAUGAGGGUUGAAUGUUAAGAAUAGUUACUUUGCGUCCAUAACCUCUUUCUUCCUUUUUCACCUUUCUUACUUAGCAUAUUCUCGAGCUUUAACUCUUCAUUCCAUGAUAUUGAUGAAGCUCGGCUUGUAUCUCAGCACCACUGUCCUUCUUCUGCUUUCCAUUAAGUUUUUGGCAACACCCAACAUUGUACCCGUACGUUGUCGCGAUUUUGGUUUGUAUAUCUCAGACACAUGCAAAUUUUGGCUUGUGUAUCUGAGCAAUUCCUCCAAUAUCUACUGUAAUUAUUAAAAUUUAGGAGUGUCUUAUAAUUAGAGAUCAAACAUCCGAUAUUUCUAUUGUUUGUUCUUUGUAAAAAUUGUCUAAGCGAUAUUUAACUAAGCAUAAACGCUUUAAAUUGGUCAAAGAUUUUAGUUGAAGUUAAAUACAAAAUAAUAUAACUAUGUACUCGAAGUUCAAGCUAGCGAGUCUCAUUUGAAUAAGCACAAGCAAAGUAGUGAACAACACAUUAAUAAAUCAAACCCAAAUUACAUACUUCUUUACGCCUUCAUAUUAAAUUCGAAAGUUGUACUUAGUUUUUGUAUGCGUAGAUUGUGGCAGAUGUUAAGUAAUAAUCUAUUCGUUUACUUUUUACUCUAUUUAUCACUAAAUACAAAUUUUUGUUUUGAUUUUGACUACUUUAAUAUAUCAAGAUAUUGAUAAAAAAAUUUAAAUUUUUUUUCUUAUUAACUAUUCAUUUCAAAUCAUUUUUCAGGAUUGUGCACCAACUAAUACUAUCAAUAUCAAUAUAAAAUAUGUACUUCAUUUGUUAUUUCUUAAGAAGCGCGUAAAAUUUAUUAUGCACAAGUAAAAAUAAAUGAAAAGGAGUCCUCGCUCCGUUCUAUUUUAGGUGGACACAUUCUAUUUUACACGAUGAUUAAAAAAACAUAAAUUGAAAGAUAAAUUUUAUUAUUUUACCUUUAUCCAUAUUAAUGAUAUUCAUUUGGUAUAGGAAUAAACAUUAUAAUUGUAAUUAUUCAUAUUUAAUUUAUACUAUUAAUAGUAGGGAUAAAAUGGGAGAGAAUUAAUUAAUUGUAUCUUGAUUUAAUAAGUGAUCAACUAAUAUAGGACAUUUAUUUUUAAUACAAUGACCAACUAAAAUAAUACGAAGGAGUAUUGUUAUCUUAUAGCUUACUGAAUAUAUCAUUUUCCCAAAAUAUCGAAACUACUUAAUUAAAUAUGCCCGUUGAUAACCAAACAUUUUUAAUCAGUCAUAAGUACAAUAAUUAGUAUUAAUUAUCAACCGUCCAUGUGAGGGAUCAUGUGGUCAACUUACAUAACAAGAAGCAACAGAAAACUAAAAUAAAAAAAUAUAGUUUAAUGAAAAAAAACGAGUUUAUGCAUUAUUUAUAUUUUUUUUAUUUGCGUCUAUAUAUUAAUAACUAGAUACAUUAAUUAAGUACGGACUCAAUGUAAGUUACUUUAUCUGUUUUUAUUUUUGAUAAAAUUUGGUGACUCAACAAAAAAAUUUUAUAUAAAUAUUUUAAAUUGUUUAUUAUUAUAAUUUACCGUAUCUAUUACGUAACUUUCCAUUAUAAAUCAUUGGAAAGGGAUUUUAAUUGUUGUUCAUCAAUUGUAAAACACAUUUAAUUAAUUUGAUAAUAAAGGCUACACUACUAUAUUUUACUACUAUAUACUCCUUUCGAUUCACUUUUACUUGGCAUGUAGAGUCAAUUUGAAUAAACUUUGGUGCUAUUUUAAAUUAGAUAAUACAAUUUUUAAAAUUAAAAUUUAGAUGUUUGAAAACUAUACAAAAAAAUACUAUAGUAAAAGUUAAGAUUCUUCUGAUAGUCCAUAUAUAUGUUUAAUGACUAAACAGUAAAAUUAAAAAGAAAAAAUCAAAAAGCUUCAAACCUAGCUAAUAUGUAUUACUCCUUUGUUUUAAUUUUAUUGUUCUACUAUUUUCUAAGCUCGUUUCGAAAAAAGGAUGUUAUGUUUUUUCUCUUAAUUUAUUAAUUUUAGCUUUCCACAACAUGUCUAAGCGUUGGACCUCAUAAUAAAAAUGAUCCGACGGCCCAGUUGAUCAAAGGCCCAAACUGAUUAGUUGGCCCAAUUGUAGAUUUUUUUAUAUAGGAUCACUUAGUACUAUAUAAAACUUGAGAUAGUAUGUAUAAAGAGGAAUAGUAUAUUCUAGAAAGGCGGUUAAUUCAUUCUUCGGUCAAUGAAAAGUCACAAAUAUUUUCUCCAUUUUCUCUCUCUAAGUCCAUGAAUGAAGAAUGAUAAUUUUUUUAUUUUCAUCUCGAUUUCGUUAAGUUUACAUGGUAUCAGAGUAGGGAAUUUGCUUCCUGACGUCAUACGCUCUCCAACGAUCUUACCCUCGCCGAUUUCUGUUACUGAUUUUUUGGUCCCGGAGUUAGAAUCCACUUAGCCGGAGAUCUAGGAUAUCGUAAUCCAAUUUUUGACUCAUAUUUAAUUUGAGGUUUAUCGCUUCUAUCGAAGUUGUGUUCACCCGGAUAUCUCAGAAGUUGCUCAUUUUGUCAAUCUAGGUUUUUGUUUUGGCGUAUUCAAUGCAGUAAAGGCCAUCUUUUUUCCAUGAUAAGAAGAAGUUGGUUGCGCAUUUUGUGGAUCUAGGAUUUUUUAUUUUGGCAUUUUCAAUGUUGUAAAGGGCAUAUUCUUCUGGUGAUAAGAAGAAUUUGGUAUCUUCGAAGCUUAUUUUCGACAUUUUUUUGCCCUUGUCUGUUUCUUUACUUUCGAACAUUUGAUUAUGGCUUCCACUGCACCUACUUAGAUUGUUACUACUUCCACUUUUAUACUUGAACAUUUGAAUCCCUUACACUUUUUAUCUUCUGAUGUACCUGGAAUUUCACUUGUUCUGAACCCUUUUUUGGGUACUAUUUUUGGAGGAUGAAAAUAAAACAUAGUCGUCUCUCUUUCAGCUAGGAACAAAAUUGCUUUUAUUGACUGUAGUUUUCCUAGAUCUUUCGAGGAUUUACCUCAUCUUAGGCAAUGGAAUAGGUGUAAUCAUUUAGUGAUCUCUUGGAUCACUAGUUCUCUUUCAUCUGAGAUGGCUGAAAGUGUGCAGUACUCGAAAACUGUAGAAAGUAUUUGGAAUCCGUUACAUAAAAGGUAUGGGAUUAUCAAUGAGACAACAAUUUUUGAACUUAAGAAGGAGAUUGACUCUACUAGCCAGGGUUGUCUGGAUAUUGCUUCCUAUUUCAAUAAACUUUAAAAAACUAUGGGAUGAACUAGGUUAAAUAUGUAGUAGGGAUUCCAAUCGAUGUAAUUGUGGAGCUAGGACUUCUCUUCUUUAAGAAGAUGAUGAGAAUAAACUCUAUCAGUUACUUGUAGGCUUAAUAAGAUAUAUAUUGGGAUUCGAGGGAAUCUCCUCAUGAUGAAUCAUGUCCCAUCUCUUGGCAAUGCCUAUAUCAUUCUCUUACAAGAUGAGAGACAGAGACAAGUGACCACUUAAGCUUAGUUCACUCUUUAUUCAGCAUCCUUUAGUGCUUAUCUUAGUCUUUCUACUAAGCAACCUCUUCAAAAGGGUACUUCUUUUACUUACUCUUCAGCUUCGAAGAACAUUCCUUCAAAGUCCCAGCCUCUUAUGAAAGUAUUGUAAGAAGCCAGGGCAUUUAAUUGACAAAUUCUAUAAGCUCAAUGGCUAUCCUUCUCAUUUCAAGUUCACUAGAAAUAACAAAACUAUUGCGGUUGUGGGAAUCCAGCCUGCCACUUCCCUGGACUUGGCGUUCAGGAUGGUUUAUCAUAGCAAUCUUCAAAACCUUGGUCUAUGAUUCCUGGUUUGACUAAGGACCAGUAUUACCAGUUGCUUCACUCACUUUAGAACGCUCAGAUUUCUGACUCUCAAUUGUGUCUCAUGGCUUCUAUAAAUUUUGUUGGUAUUCUUUCUAUGUUUGAUAAUAAUGAACAUAGUUUCAGUAUGGCUUUCUAGUAUAUUUGUCUAGUUGUUAUUGGAUUUUAGAUUUUGGUGCCACACACCACGUGACCUAUAAUAAAGAUCUUAUUUUUGGCAUUCAUCUCCUAACCAUAUCCUAUCUGGUCAACCUACCCAAUGCCUACAAAGUUAAAGUCACUUGCACUGGUUCUCUUAAUUUCUUUUAUUGUACACUACACAAUGUUCUUUAUUUUCCCUCUUUCCAUUUUAAUCUCAUACUAUUUCUCAACUGACUUCUAAGUUAAAUUGCACAUUCCAUUUUACUAAAAACACUUCUUUUUUUCAGGCUCUUUCACGGAAGAGGCCAGUGGAACUUGGUAAUUUGGAUGUUAGACUCUAUAAAUUUCAGGAUUCUCAUGUUGCUGGUUCUCCAAGUGUCUCAAUUCCUACUAUUUGUAAUUUUGCAUUCCCUAUUUCAGUUCCUGUAUGUGUUUCUAAUAUACCAGAUAUUUUUGUCUCUCCAUUACCUGUUGUAAUUUCUUUGCCUUAUAAGAAUCACCUUGCAUCUGGUCCUUGUAAAUAUCAUUCUAAAUCUAAUAAAAUAGAGAUUUUAUGGCAUAACAGUCUAGGUCACAUUGUUUUCCAAAAUGAAGGAUAUUAUUUCCAUUACCUAUGCCUUUUCUUCUUAGCAAUCUUUUAUUUGUCUAUUUGCCCUGUGGUUAGACAACCUAGACUUUCUAUUCCUGUAAGUUCUAUCAAAACUAUUUUUCCUUAUGAAUUGAUUCAUGUAGAUUCUUAGGGUCCUUACAGCAUUCCCACUUAUGGUGGGUGUAAAUAUGUCCCAACACUUGGUGAUGGCUAUAGCUGGGCCACUUGGACUCACCUUAUGGGUUCCAAUAGCAAUGUCUUUCCACUGUUAAAAACUUUCUUUCUUUGUUUUUAUUUUACCGGAGUGGUUUGAAUUAGCUCCUCCAUGGUCAAGACUUAAUUUGUUGUUUUAGUCAAGGAUGUUAGAAGUGAUAAUGCCCCAGAUUUAGACUCCAGCACAUCUAAUAUACAAUAUUUCUUAGACAACCAGACUUCUUGUCCCCACACACCACAACAAAAUGGUGUUGUGGAAAGGAAACAUAUGUACCUUCUUGAAAUUUCUAAAGCCUUGCUUUUUUAGUCUAAAUUACCCAUUUCAUUCUAGGUUGUUGUGUUCUCAUAGCCACCUACAUGAUCAAUAGAUUUUCUUCCACCUUAAUAAUAAAUCUCAUUUUGAGCUUUUCCAAGAUCAGGCACCUUUUUUUCUCAUUUAAAAACUUUUGGGUUUCCUUGCUUCACUUCUGUUUCUAAGGUUCAUAGGGAUAAAUUUUAGUCUAAAUUUGAUCCAUGUGUUUUCAUAGGUUAUCCUUUGGGGUGAUUGUAUUCUCACAGCCACCUACUCGAUUAAUAGAUUUUCUUCCACCUUACUUAACAACAAAUCUCCUUUUGAGCUUUUAUAUGGUCAUGGACCUUCUUUUUCUCAUCUAAGAACUUUUGAGUGUCUUUGCUUCACUGUUGUUUGUAAGGUUCAUAGAAAUAAAUUUCAGCCUAAAGUCGAUCCCUGUGUUUUCAUAGGUUAUCCUUCGGGUAAAACAGGUUAAAAUCAAUAUAAUUUGAAUAUUAAACUCACUCUUGUGUCUAAAGAUAUUGUUUUUCAUGAGUCCAUAUUUACUUUUGCUAUUCCUUCUCAUUUUCAUCUUCUUCACCUUCUCUUAUUAUUUUUUCUGAUUUCGAGCCCCUCUCUUCUCAUCCUCCUUCUUAUUCUUAACCUUUUGUUCCUUCAACGUUUGCUACAUCUACUUCUACUCUUUCCUCGUCUCUUGCUCUCAGAAGGUCUUCCCAGCCUUAUUUUAUACUUUCUCAUCUUCAACCUUAUGUAUAUAAUUUACCCCCUUCCUUGUAUGGUUAGGGUUUUGAUUCUACUAGUACUGAUACUUUUGCUAGCACUACUAUUUUGGAGCCUACUUCUUAUUCUCAGGCAGCCUUCAUACCAGCUUGGCAAGAUGCUAUGCAGAAAGAGUUUGAGGCUCUUGAGGCUAACUAUACAUAGCCAGUGGUUUCUCUUCCUUCCAGCAAGAAACCUAUUGAUUGUAAAUGAAUUUUUAAAGUCAUAUACAAAUUUGAUAGGUCUUUAGAGAGAUAUAAGACCACGCUAGUUUAUAGAGGUGACACCCAAGUUAAAGGUGUGGACUUCACUAAGACUUUCUUUCUUGUAAUUAAGUUUUUCACCAUUAAAUGUUUGAUUUUUCUGGUUGCCAAGAAGCAGUGGUCUUUGUUUCAGCUGGAUGUAAAUAAUGUCUUUAUUCAUGGUGACUUGGAGGAAGAAGUCUAAAUGAAACUACCUCCUAAUGUUUCUGCUCUUGCAUGUGCUGAUUUUUCUCCUCUAGUUUGCCUCCUUCAGAAAUCUUUAUAUGGUAUUCAACAGGCUUCUAGGCAAUGGUAUGCCAAAUUAUCUCAAGCUCUAUGUUCUAGAGGGUACAUAUAUUUUGUGAAUGACUAUUCCUUAUCUACUAGAAAAACUGACUUUUCAUUGUUAUUUUGGUUGUGUGUGGGGAUGACAUUAUCCUCACUGGUGAUGAUUUGGUUGAAAUCUCCAAUCUCUAGUUAUUUUUGGAUACACAGUUUAGGAGUAAGGAUUUGGGUGUUCUUAGCGAUUUUUUGGGCAUCCAGGUUGCUUAUUCUGCUCAGGGUCUUUUUCUACAUCAUCAUAAAUUUGUUCAGGAUCUCCUCUUAGAGUUAGGCUGUGAAUUUGUUACUGUUGUUACAUUCCUUCUUGAUCUAAUGUAAAAUUGCAGGCCACUACAAGUGAUCUCUUGAGUUCUCCUAAGACUUACAAGAUUUUGGUUGGCAAGUUGAACUUUUUGACCCAUACUAGACCUGACUUGUACUUUGUCAUUCAACACCUCAACUAAUUUCUUUAGUUUUCUUAAGCUCCUUACAUACAUGCUUCCCUCUAUCUUUUCAGGUUUCUUAAGGGGUCUUUGGAUGCUGGUGUUUCUAUUAGUGUUGAUCUCUUUUUCUCUCAUUCAACUAUUUAUGAUAGUUAUUGGGUUGUUUAUCCUGAUACUAGGCGCUCGCUUUCUGGUUUUACAUUUUUCUUGGUCAUUUUUUGGUGGGUUGGAAGGUUAAGAAGCAUCCUGUCAUCUCUCUUUCAUCUGUGGAAGAUGAAUAUCGUGUCAUUAGUAAGGUUAUUAUUGAUUUAUCUCUGAUUGUUCGAUUGUUGGCUGAUCUUGGUGUUCUAAUUGAUCAGCAUGUCCCUAUCUACUAUGAUACUCAGGCUAUUACCCGCAACCCCAUGUUCCACAAAUGCACUAAGCACAAUGAGGUAGAUUGCAAUUUCACUCGUCAAUAACUUUUUCUUGGUCUUAUUUCCUUGCAUCAUGUCUCCACUAUGGCCCAGCUCGCUAAUAUUUUCGCGAAGCCUCUCACUGGGCUUCUCCAUUAUUCCAUUCUUCCUAAGUUGGGUGUCCUUCCUCACUCCAACUUUAAGAGGGUGCUCGACCUCAUACUAAAAAUGAUUUGACGGUCCAGUUGAUCGAAGGCCCAAGCUGAUUAGUUGGCCUAGUUGUAGAUUUAUUUAAAUAGGACCAUUUUGUAUUAUAUAGAAUCUUGAGGUAGUAUGUACAAAGUGGAGUAAUACACUUUAGAAAGACAUUUAAUUCAUUCUUCAGUCAAUGAAAGGUCACAAAUAUUUUCUCCAUUUUCUCUCUCUAAGUCCAUCAAUGAAUACUAAUAAUUUGGAAAAUUAAUUGAUAACUUAUAGCGAAGGAGAGUAGGUGGUCGAACCCUAGAACGUCGAUUCCAUUAUCUGAUAUUUUUCGUCUAAAAUAGCCACUGCGAUCGUUGGUCAGCCUCAUGCAGUGGUUGGCUAACUCAAUAUUGAGAUACAAUGGAUAAUUUCCCAGAUUUACCAAACACAAAUAUUACAAAAAUACAGUCUCCUAAAAACUUAAUACCAUUACCAUCUUUCCCAAAGGUGACAUAUUCAAAUCUUUUGAAACAAAACACAGGCUAUGCUAAUACAAAUACACAAGUGGAACCGAUUUCUAUCAAGAAACCUGAAUUCAUUAAUGGAGUACCUCGUGUACAAUGGACUAAAGAUGAAGUAGACAGAAUGAAUUUGAUUGAAGGGAUUCAUUAUGCUAUAAUAGGGAAGUUCUAUUACGGAUGGCCAGAAUUAGAUGAUCUUCGAAUUCAACUGUCGAAACAACUCAAUGUGAAAGGUGGAUGUAACAUUGGAUUAUUGAGAAAUCGACAUAUUUUGUUGAGACUUGACAGAAUAAAGGAUUUUGUCACUGUUAUGUCAAAGAGCGUUUAUUAUAUUAAUGUUAAGAAUGACUAUUCAUAUCAAAUGCAACCAUUUAUCUAGGAUGCUAAGUUUGUAACUAAUGAUGAAACUUCACAGGUUAAAGCUUGGAUCUCUUUCCCCAAUCUUAAGCCUACAUAUUUUGUGAAAGAAUCACUAUUCUCAUUAGCCUCAGCAGUUUCUUCAAUUUUUAAUAAAAUUUGAAAAAUUUAUUUCAUCCGGAUAAAUGCGCUCUAAAAUAUUAUUUGGGUUAAUUUUGGCAUUUAAUUGACGAUUGUAGGUUUUUGUAUUUACAUAUGCGAAAUUGUAUAAAUUACUUAAAUAAAUAUUUUUAUCAAAAUUGGACUUUUACUGGCAAGCUUGAAAUUCAAACGGAUAAAGUCUUGAUUUAAAUAUAAUUUAAUCUCAAAAAUAAUUUAUUUUAAUAAAUAUGUGUUUGAUUUUAUUAAAUCAAGAAGAUCGGGAUUAAAUGAAGUCUUAAUUCGUAUCGAAAUUCAAUUUAAUUCAGCCAAUCUAUUAGAUUUGGCCAUAAUUGAAAUCAAAUUGGCCAUAAUUGCAAUGCAAUCCUCCAAUUGAUUUUUAAUUUGGUCAAAAUUAAAUAAAUUUGGCUAAAUUUUAAAUCCAAAUUGGGAUUAUAUUUUAAAUAACCCCAAAAUUUUAAAAAACUCUCAUAACUUCAACCCAAUUCCCACCAAAAAUAAUUUCAAAUCCCAAAAUUAAAUUUGAAAUUCAAAAUUUAUACUAGAUUGUACAAUUCUCCCUCAACCUUGUCCCUUUUGAAAAUUUGAAUUUUAAAAUUUGUACUAUAUUGUACAAUUCCCCCUCAACUUUUUCCAAAUUUAAAUUUUGAAAUUUAAAAAUUGUACUACAUUGUACAAUUCCCCUUCAAAUUUGUCCUUUUUUCAAUUUUGAAAUUCAAAAAUUGUACUACAAGUGUACAAUUUCCCCUCAACCCUGUCCAUUUUUCAAAUUCAAAUUUUAAAAUUCAAAAAUAGUACUACAUAGUACAAUUCUCCUUCAACCUUUUUCCUUUUUUCAAUUUGAAAAUUCAAAAAUUGUACUAUAUUAUAUAAUUUUUCCCCACCUUAUCUUUCACCUCACCUUAUCUUAAAUUUUAAAAUUCCAAAAACACCCCUAAAUACUUUCCCCCACAUUGAUGGAUGAAAAGAAUGGAAUUCUCAUCCUUUCCUAUAAAUACUACAACUAUUUUGGAAGAAAUACCAAGUUUCAAGGUUGAAAAAAAAAACUUUGAGCAAAGAAGAGUUUUUAUUUUAGUAAAAAAAAAAAAUCUAUGAAAUUCAUGGGCUAAUCGAAGUCCUCGAGUUGAAUGCUUUCCUGUGGUGAUCAAGACUCCAAAGAAAGCUUGUAGUCUCGUUGUAUUUCCCCAAAAAAGGUAAACACACCUUUCUCUUUUUUAGUUUUAUAAUCAUUUUCUUUUUCGUCUUUUUCUUCUUCGUAGUUUAUAGCUUACCGAAGACAUGACCCUAGAUAGGAAGGUCUGGAGGACGCGAAUUAGGGCAGAAGACUAGGGCCGGUUUGGGUUGCUAGGGUAGGGAAUUACUUGGUGGGAGUUUUAUUCUUGUUAUGAUUCUGUGUUCCAUGUUUUAUUACGAAUCUGUGUGCUUUCCUCUGUUUUCUAAUGCUUAUGGGUGCCGUAUUUAUGUUAUGNNNNNNNNNNNNNNNNNNNNNNNNNNNNNNNNNNNNNNNNNNNNNNNNNNNNNNNNNNNNNNNNNNNNNNNNNNNNNNNNNNNNNNNNNNNNNNNNNNNNNNNNNNNNNNNNNNNNNNNNCUUUCCCCCCCCCCCCAGACCCCACUAGGUGGGAAUACACUGGGUUUGUUGUUGUUGUUGUUGUUGUUGUUGUUGUUGUAGUUUAUACUUGUAAUUUUGCUUGCUGGGAUUGUUUGCUGUAGAUUUGCUGUAGACGGCCUUGAAGGCCAUAGGACAUUGUGGUAUCGAUAUUAGUUUUAUUUUCAAGUUCAUGAAAUAAAAAUGAGCUAGCAAUAGUUGAACAUGACUUUUUAUUUUAUUCUAUGAUUAUUAUAGAUAAAGUUUAAAUCUUUGCUUAAAAGAUGUACUUAUGUUUUGUUUAAAUUCAUUGUUGGCGGAUAUGUUUGUUUUUACAUAUAAAGUUGUUUCCUUUAUGUUGAAAUUAAUAGUUAGUAUUGAUUGUUUCUCCUUUUUCACUUUAUUCUUUGAUUAUUAUAGAUAAAGUUUCAGUCUUCACUUAAAAGAUGUACUUAUGCUUUGUUUAAAUUCAUUGUUGGCGGAUAUAUUUGUUUUUAGCAUGUAAAGUUGUUUCCUUUAUGAUAGUUAAUAUUGAUUGUUUCUCCUUUUUUACUUUAUUCUUUGAUUAUUAUGGAUAAAGUUUCAAUCUUUGCUUAAAAGACGUACUUAUUUUGUGUUUAAAUUCAUUGUUGGCGUAUAUAUUUAUUUUUAGCAUGUAAAGUUAUUUUCUUAUGUCUAAAAUAAUAGUUACUAUUGUUUGUUUUGCCUUAGUAAAAUAAUAAUUGGUUAAGUCAAGAACUUGUCAUUUGCUUGCUAAUCAUUUUAAUGGAUUUCAAAAUCCUCAUAUCAGAGAUGAAGUGCUAGCUUUAUUUUUCAUCAAAAUAUUUAUUCCUUUUUUUUCACAUGUCGUUUUGUCGCUAGUAAAAUAGUAAUUGGUUAUGUCAAGAACUUGUCAUUUGCUUGCUAAUCAUUUUUCCGCAUGUCGUUUUGUAGCUAAAUAGAAUUAUUUAGAUAUUUCUAAGUCAUGCAUAAUAUGAUUGUUAAAUGAUAUUUUACUUUUAGAGAUGCUAAAUUUUUAUUCUAAUUUUCUUACUCCAUUUGGAUUGUUACUUGUGUUUUUGUGUGUGUAAAGACUUGAUUCAUGUCUCUCUUUGAUUCAUAAUAUCAAAAGAGAAUCAACGAUGUCUUAGAAAUAUAAAUCGUAGCUCGUUACAUCUUUUUCGUAAAAUUAGCCAUAAUUUGGAUGUAUGAAUCAUCGUUAAUAUCGCCUUAAUUGGAGUUUAAGGAUUCCCUUUCUUAAAAGUUAGCAUCCACCUUCUUCUUUGUCAUAUGGUUAAUUUUCUUUUCAUUGAAAAAUUUAAUUUGCUUUGAUAUUGCAGUUUACUACUUAUUUAUGCUUGAGAAUGCUAUUUUUUCAUCUCAUCAUUUAUCUAUUGAAUACAUAUUAAUUUUUUUCUUUUAUCUUUUUUCUUUGCAUGAACCUGUUUUGGAGUCCAAAUAGAUUCCUUUCCUCUUGCAUUUCGUAAUGGGCCAACGAGGCCCACCUCUUCGAGUCAAGUCCGAAGUUUAAAUCCAAAGUCAAUUAUGUGGCGUGCGGGUGCAAAAAGAUAGAAGAAGAGGAAGAAGAAGAAAAAAUGGGUCAAAACCCAUUGAUGAGGUCACUAAGAGACUUGAAAAGUUUCGAUUUUUAUUAUUAUAUUACUCUUUAUUUAUUUAUUUAUUUAUCUAUUUGUUCGUUUAUUUGGGCCUCGAAGCCAAAGUUGUAAUUUUAAUACAGGUGAAGCGGAUAUUUGGGCCUUCAAGGUCCGAACACUAGCUUAGGACAGACUAUGGGCCAAAAGCCCAAGUAUUUAGAUUACGACAGGUGAAGAUGGACCAAAGCCCAAAUUAUCUUAAGACAAGAUUUAUGAUUUGGGCCUAAUGGCCUAAGUCCUUUAGUCUCCUCCUUUCCUCUUUAUAUGCUAAUUGUUCUUAGUUUUCUUAGACUUAGUUAAAAUUCUCGCUAAGUCGUCAAAAUUUAUUUUGCACAAAUCUUGAAGACAAUUUUCCUUAACUGUUUUCUUUUCAAAACCCAAUUUUCCCUUUUUAAAGUUAUUCAAAAAAGUUAUUUUCAAAUAGUCCAGAUAACCACAAGUUAGCGAAUACUCUUGGUGACUUAAUAACCUUCCAAGAGUAUUAAUAGGAACCGUUUACCUAGAAUUUCAAAACUUAAAUGAUUUUUUUGUUUUGAAUCAUUUAAGUAAUUUAUAAAGGUUUUCUUAAUUUUUCUAAAUAAAUUAAGUGGCGACUCUAAAAAAGUCAUUUCUCCGCAAAAAUUUGGAAAACCCAUUCAUUUAGAUACGGCCACAUUAAACAAGACAAGACAUAUUUAUGCUAGGGUUAGGGUACAGGUGGAUUUACUUGCUGAUCUUUCUUCAUUUGUAAAGAUAGAGCUACUGAAUUCAAACAAUGGAGAAUCUAUUCAGAAGAAUGGAGAAUCUAUAGUAGGAAGGGUGAAAAGUCAAUAUGAUUUUCUCCCUAAGAACUGCAAGAAGUGCAGAUUAUAAGGUCAUAAUGAAGUUGAUUAUGGGGUACUACAUCCUGAGUUGAAGCAAGUAUUUGAAGCAAAUUCACAAACUCAUAUUCACCAUACAACUAAGGGUGGGGACAUAAAAAGUGGACAAAAGGAGUAUCAGUAGAGUUAUCAAAACAAGUGGCAUCCUACAAAAAGAAGAUUCCCUAACAAAGGUUAUCAAGGAGAGGAGACCAUCUUGCUUGAGAAUAUCAGUACUACUAAUCAGUUCAAAUUCACUAACCGUGGAAGUUGAGGAGAAUAUCCAGAAUCAUAAGAAGGUCAAUACAGUAGAAGAUAAUCAGAAUGAUGCUACUAAUAGUGGGGAAAGAAAUAAAGGGAUGUCAACUAAGGAUAAGGUAACCAAGUCCUUCCGUCAGCUAACUAAAGCAGCUUCUCCAGAUAUCUUGAGUCAUGAGGAAUCUGUAAAACAGGAGGAAAAUAAAUCAAAUCAGAAAAUUAUAGCUACUGCACCUACUAUAAAAAGCUCUCCAUUGGUUGAAUAUAAGUAGGAAGUGGGAAAGGAAUAGGAAAAUCAGCACAAAUAACAAGGUCCUAGUAAAAGAGAUAAUCCCAGAAGCAAAAUUAAUAAUGCUAAAGUACCUAGCAAAAGCGACAAUGGUAAUGAUUCUGAAUUGUUGGAGAAGGAAGAAGAUAACUAUGAUGACUCAGUAAACAAUAGCUUAGCUAUUAUGGAUAUUCCUUUAGCUAUUGAGGAUCCAAUGGAUACUGUGUGGUGUGGAGAUUCAGCACAACCUAAUUCAGUUCUUCAUGAUAUUCUUACUCAUCAAUUUGAUGGAGUAGAAGGAGUAGCAGAUCUUUUGGAAGGGAGUAAGGAGGUAGGUAUCAAUGACAAUCUGGAUAACCACAUUUUAAGAGAUGCAGAUGUUUCUCCAAGGGUUAAUAAAAUGAUUAAAUAAGAAAGAAAGAAUAACAAGCAGCAUAUCACUGAAAAGACCUUGUCAAGCAGAUCUCGCCCUAAAAAGGGGCAUGUCAACUCAUCUAAUAAGCAAUGAUGAAAGAUUUAGUCUGGAAUAUUAAAUCUAUAAAAUCCCAAAAGGCUUUCCAGAGAGUUCAAAUGUUGAAUAGGGUUCAUAAGUUUACUUUUGUAGUAAUAUUGGAGCCAUUUAAGCAUAUCAGACACAUAAAUAGUAUAGAAGAAGGUUAUAGAUACCACAAAUAUUCCACAAUUAUAAUGGGAAAAUAUGGUGAUUUUUUAAUAAUGGUUUCAAUGUUACAAUUAAGAGUGAUACUGAACAGCAAUUAUCUUUCUUGAUUCAGGAUCAAUCUAUGGGAAUAGGUUUUAUGCUAGCACUUGUAUAUGCUAAAUAUGAUAAGUACGAAAGAUUAGAAUUGUAGGAUAAUAUUUUCUCCAUUGCUAAUAAAAUUUUAGGUCCACGGCUCUUGAGAGGUGAUUUUAAUACAAUUCUAAUGCCUCAAACAAGAUAAGUGGAGUACCAAUAGCUACAGCAGAUGUAGAAAACUUUCAAGAGUAUAUUGAAUCUUUUGAUAUGACACAAAUUAUUCACAACGCCACCCUAUUUACUUAGUGGAAUGGAAGAGCUGGAGAGGAUUGUAUAUUUGAAAAAUUAGAUAGAUUAUUUGUUAAUGAAGAUUUUCAGCAUAUGUUUAAUUCUAUGGAAGUGGAACAUCUAGCCAGAUAUGGUUCUGAUCAUGCACCUUUAUUAUUAAAAUGUGAGAAUACAGAGGUUGUGGUUCAGAAACAAUUUAAAUUCUUGAAUUUUUGGACUGGUCAUUCAGAAUUAAAGAGGUAAUUGCAAGGAAUUGGGAUGUUGAUUAUUCUGAUAAUCCCUUUAAUGUCUUUAAAAGGAAAAUCAAAAAAGUCAAUAAAGCACUUUCCAUAUGAAGCAAACAGACUUUUGGAGACAUUUUUCAACAGCUGAUUAUUGGAGAGGAGAUUACUAAGGUGAAAGAGAAAUUAUGUGAGGAAAAUCCUUCUUCUGUGAAUAAAAUGGUGAUGCAAAAGGCUAGAGCUGAAUAUAUAAAGUAUCUUAAGAUGUAGGAAUGUUCUUGGCAGCAAAAAACAAGGUAUGAUUGGUUUGAAAGUGAGGACAGAAACACUAAGUUUUUUCAUAGCAUUGUCAAGGGGAGAAGAAGUAAGUUGAAAAUUUAAAAAAUUAUUAAUGAGAAUGGUUGCUGGUUAGAGGAAGAAAGCUAAAUAUCAUAUGGGGCCAUAAAUUUCUACCAGAAUCAAUUCAUAUAGGAAAGGGAUGCAACUGAAUUUCCAUUACUGAAAAGCAUUGCAGAGCUAAUUUCUGAUAAGAAAAAUGAGAUACUAUAGGCUAACCCUAAAGAGGUGGAAAUUAAGGAAGCAGUGUUCAAGUUAAAUAGGGAUAGUGUUAGUGGACCAUAUGGACUAACAGGAAGAUUUUUUUCAAGUUUGCUGGGACAUCAUUUAUAGAGAUGUGAUUAGACUGGUGAAAAGUUUCUUUGCAGGUAAUACACUUCCAAAAUACAUUAAUCAUACUAAUUUGAUACUCAUUUCUAAAAUGGAUAAUGUACAAUUCUUUUCAUAUUUGAUACCAAUUAGUCUUAGUAAUUUUGUCAAUAAAAUCCUGUCUAGGAUUAUUCUUGAUAGAUUGGAGGGUAUUUUACCAAAUCAGAUAUCUCCAAAUCAGUCAGGAUUUAUUAAAGGGAGAAUUAUUAUUGAGAAUGUAUUCAUUACUCAGAAACUGAUUACUAAUAUAGAGAAGAGAUAAAAGCCUUAUAAUGUAGUUUUGAAACUGGACAUGGCUAAAGCUUAUGACAGGGUAUCUUGGUUUUUUUAAUGAAGGUGUUAAGAACUACUAUUCUGUCCUAGUGAAUGGCUAGUCUAUAGGUUUUUUCCACUCUAUUAGAGGAGUCAAACAAGAGGACCCUCUUUUCCCUGCUCUAUUUAUUUAAUCAGUAGAGGCAUUGACUAGAUCUUUAGAUCAGGUUUUUGAAGAUCAUGCUUUUAUUGGUUAUGGUAUGUCUAAAUGAGUCCUGAGUUGAAUCAUCUUGCAUAUGCUAAUGAAACAGUUAUCUUUACUUCUUUUAAUAAAUAUUUAAUUAAGAAGAUAAUGCAGGUUUUGAAUGAAUAUGAGUUGGAAUCUGGUCAAGAGAUUAACAUAGAUAAGAGUUAUAUUAUAUGCACCACAAUACUUUGACAAGUGUGGUGAGGAAGGUUGAAUAGGAUACUAGAAUGAGAAGAGGUUGUUUUUCUUUAAAGUAUCUUAGUUUUCCACUAUCCUAUUCUAAGAGAAACAAAGAACAAUUUUCUAAACUAAUUAAUAAAGUUUAAAGUAAGCUUCAAAACUGGAAGGGUAGGCUAUUAUCAUUUGGAGGAAAAGAAGUUCUUAUUAAAAGUGUGUUACAGAAUAUUCCUAUUUAUAUUUUGUUGGUAGUGAUUCCUCUAAAAAGUGUUCUUAAAGAGUUGCAAAGAAUAUUUGUAAGUUUCUUCUGGUAGACUAAGGAGACAGGAAGAAACAAACAUCGGGCCAAUUGGAAUAGGCUAUCAUUACCCUAAAAGGAAAGAGGGUUGGGACUUAAGGAUAUAUAUGAGGUUGCAAAGGAAAUGUAUGCUAAAUUAUAGUGGAUAGUCAGAACUCAGAAUAACUUGUGGGAAAACUACAAGUUGAAAAAGUAUUGUAAAAAAUAAUUACCUACAGUGGUGCAAUGGAGAGAGGGCCUCAAGUAUGGAAGGCAAUGCUGGAAAAUAGAGAUAGGAUUAAGGAAUUCAUAUGGUGGGAACCUACAGGUGGAAUAUCUACAGUGUGGUUUGAUAAUUGGACUAAUACUGGUCCUUUAUUCAAAUAACAGUCUCAGAUUCAAACAUGUCAUCCAUUGUCUGAUAUUAAAAAGUUUCUUAAUGAAGAGGGGUGGAAUCAUGAUGCUAUGACGGAUGAAGCACCAGUUCAUGUAGUUAAUCAUGUGAGAAAUUAUAUGGAUAGUGUGUGAUAUAAAGAUAAGAUGGAUAAACCAUGGUGGACAUUGAAUUCCAAUGGCAGGUUUACUACAAAAUGUUCUUGGGAAGUACUAAGAAAUAAAGAAAAAGAGGAUGAGGAUCUUAAAGCAAUAUAGAGUAAAGCGUUACCAUUUAAAUUCAGCUUCUUAUCAUGGAGAAUUUAAAAGGGUAUGAUUCCAAUUGAUGCUCUACUACAUACCUAGAAUACUGAAGUUUCAGAAAACUAUUUUUGUUGUGAUAAUCCCAGAAGAAAAACAAUCUCACACCUAUUUCUUAGAGGGGAAACUGCUGCUAAAGUAUGGGAUCAUUACUGUGCAGGUGCAGGGAUAAUUGACCAAAGACUAAAUUUGAAGCAAAGUAUCAGAAUACGGAGAAAGCAAAGUGAUAAUUAUAGAGUAAAAGUUGUGUAUAAAGUGGUACCAACUGUUAUUCUGUGAUUUUUGUGGAAAAAAAGGAAUACUAUUAGGCAUGGAGGAUCACAUUUGAUACGCCCAAAUUAUAACUCUCGUUAGAAAGUGUAAACGGUCGCUGUCAAAUAUAGAACCCAACUAGGUUGGGAUCGAAUCCCACAGGGAAUACUAUGCAAACUAAGUGUUAUGGUUGUUAACAGACUGUUGAUCGAAGGCUCCUAAGUAAAGGGGGUUUUGAAUUUGUAACAGUGUUUAAAAGGUUGUAACAAGUAGCGUUCCAGCUAAUGAAUUUUAUUGCAAGUACUAAUUCAAUGAGAUGAAACAAACUAAAGUUAUGUUCACCAAGAUGAUCAAACAGGUGGGGUUGUGAAUUCUCUUAAAUUCCUAAUUUACAACUUCAAUUGCAAGAGUUAUUGAAUUCUAAAGUUUACCCAUUUUUUUCUCAACCUAAACGGGUAGUUUACCCUUUAAUUUUUUUGAACUUAAAGAAUAUAUGAAGUUAUUCAAUUAAUCUCUCAUAUGAUUCAAUCCUUGUUUAAGGCAUCAACUCAUACCCAAAGGUUAAGGCCUUUAGACUUCAUAUAAUCUCCUUCUUUUCCCAACAUAUACUUUUUUUCUCAGACAAGUAAUGUUCUUAGGCUCACACUUCAAGUUGCAACCAAAAAGGGUCAUUAAAGUGAAGAAGGAUUUAUACAAUCUCAAGUACUUAUGAAAAUUAAGCAUUCUCACAACCCCAAUCAGUUGUUCACAUCAAGGCUCCCAUAACCCUAGUUAUGGGAAUUUAGCUACACAUCUCAAGAUAAGAAGAAGAAGAGAAAAUCAUUGUGUUCCUCCUAAAUGGAUUCAAAGAAUUACUUAAAAAGGUUACAAUAGUUAUUCUUCAAUCUUCAAUGAGAAUUUGAAUAAAGAUAACUACAUCCACAAUUCUUGCUUGAAUCCCAAAGAAUAAUACGUACAAUAAGUUUUCUAGCUGGAAAAUAUGAUAAAGAUACCUAAAUUGGGUAUUUAUAUGUUCUCAGGUAUAGAGGAUUUAAAAUUUAAACUCAAAAAAGCCGCAUCCAAGUCGACGGUCACUUUAACGGCCCAUCAAAAGCCUGACGGUCCAUCGCGUGAACAGCCGCUGAUGGUCCCGAAGUUCCAUGUUCUGGUUAAGGGUUGACAGUCAUGUUGGUGGACUGUCACUAGCUUGGCAUUCCAUCGCAUAGGCCGUCGUUUGGUCCUAUAGAAGUUUAAGUUUUAUUUCAGCCUGACGGCCAAGUUGGUGGUCCAUCGGGGAUUCGAUGGUCUGUCAUUUGGACCAUCGCAGGACUCACUCAAUUAUUCCUUUUUGUUUCACUCUGACAGUUACCUUGGCAGUUCAUCGCAUGACUGAUGGUACGCCAGUUCGCCCACCCAUCUGUGGCCUUUUUCUGUUAUUUUUCCAAGUUUCUUUUUUAGCUAACUCUUUGACCUAAAAACACUAAAAUCCAGUAUUAAAUACAACAUCGGUGGUUUGAAAGCAUACAAUUAUUCCUUGAAAAAGAUGUAAAAUAUUUCAUCCAAAUUCGGAACAUCAAACCCUCAAAUUAAGAUAAUUGUUUGCCGUUAAGCAACUCAGCACCAAAUAGUAUACAUGAAUAACACAACGAUAGGAAAUCAACUAUUGAACUAGAUUUCACACAACCAUUCACUAGUCAUAUCACUCAUAUAGGCUCAACACAUCAGAAUCUACAACCGACAUUGUUUAUAAUUCAGCACACAUACAAACAUAGAUAUAAUAUCCCACAGAGAUUGGCAAAACUAAGUGUAACCUAAGUUGCCCUCACAGUCAAUGAAAUCCACCACUCAUUAUAUAUUGUGGACAAAAAUCAAGACUCUCACACUCAUCAAAGAAGUUACAUUACCCUAAAAGGAAAGAGGGUUGGGACUUAAGGAUAUAUAUGAGGUUGCAAAGGAAAUGUAUGCUAAAUUAUAGUGGAUAGUCAGAACUCAGAAUAACUUGUGGGAAAACUACAAGUUGAAAAAGUAUUGUAAAAAAUAAUUACCUACAGUGGUGCAAUGGAGAGAGGGCCUCAAGUAUGGAAGGCAAUGCUGGAAAAUAGAGAUAGGAUUAAGGAAUUCAUAUGGUGGGAACCUACAGGUGGAAUAUCUACAGUGUGGUUUGAUAAUUGGACUAAUACUGGUCCUUUAUUCAAAUAACAGUCUCAGAUUCAAACAUGUCAUCCAUUGUCUGAUAUUAAAAAGUUUCUUAAUGAAGAGGGGUGGAAUCAUGAUGCUAUGACGGAUGAAGCACCAGUUCAUGUAGUUAAUCAUGUGAGAAAUUAUAUGGAUAGUGUGUGAUAUAAAGAUAAGAUGGAUAAACCAUGGUGGACAUUGAAUUCCAAUGGCAGGUUUACUACAAAAUGUUCUUGGGAAGUACUAAGAAAUAAAGAAAAAGAGGAUGAGGAUCUUAAAGCAAUAUAGAGUAAAGCGUUACCAUUUAAAUUCAGCUUCUUAUCAUGGAGAAUUUAAAAGGGUAUGAUUCCAAUUGAUGCUCUACUACAUACCUAGAAUACUGAAGUUUCAGAAAACUAUUUUUGUUGUGAUAAUCCCAGAAGAAAAACAAUCUCACACCUAUUUCUUAGAGGGGAAACUGCUGCUAAAGUAUGGGAUCAUUACUGUGCAGGUGCAGGGAUAAUUGACCAAAGACUAAAUUUGAAGCAAAGUAUCAGAAUACGGAGAAAGCAAAGUGAUAAUUAUAGAGUAAAAGUUGUGUAUAAAGUGGUACCAACUGUUAUUCUGUGAUUUUUGUGGAAAAAAAGGAAUACUAUUAGGCAUGGAGGAUCACAUUUGAUACGCCCAAAUUAUAACUCUCGUUAGAAAGUGUAAACGGUCGCUGUCAAAUAUAGAACCCAACUAGGUUGGGAUCGAAUCCCACAGGGAAUACUAUGCAAACUAAGUGUUAUGGUUGUUAACAGACUGUUGAUCGAAGGCUCCUAAGUAAAGGGGGUUUUGAAUUUGUAACAGUGUUUAAAAGGUUGUAACAAGUAGCGUUCCAGCUAAUGAAUUUUAUUGCAAGUACUAAUUCAAUGAGAUGAAACAAACUAAAGUUAUGUUCACCAAGAUGAUCAAACAGGUGGGGUUGUGAAUUCUCUUAAAUUCCUAAUUUACAACUUCAAUUGCAAGAGUUAUUGAAUUCUAAAGUUUACCCAUUUUUUUCUCAACCUAAACGGGUAGUUUACCCUUUAAUUUUUUUGAACUUAAAGAAUAUAUGAAGUUAUUCAAUUAAUCUCUCAUAUGAUUCAAUCCUUGUUUAAGGCAUCAACUCAUACCCAAAGGUUAAGGCCUUUAGACUUCAUAUAAUCUCCUUCUUUUCCCAACAUAUACUUUUUUUCUCAGACAAGUAAUGUUCUUAGGCUCACACUUCAAGUUGCAACCAAAAAGGGUCAUUAAAGUGAAGAAGGAUUUAUACAAUCUCAAGUACUUAUGAAAAUUAAGCAUUCUCACAACCCCAAUCAGUUGUUCACAUCAAGGCUCCCAUAACCCUAGUUAUGGGAAUUUAGCUACACAUCUCAAGAUAAGAAGAAGAAGAGAAAAUCAUUGUGUUCCUCCUAAAUGGAUUCAAAGAAUUACUUAAAAAGGUUACAAUAGUUAUUCUUCAAUCUUCAAUGAGAAUUUGAAUAAAGAUAACUACAUCCACAAUUCUUGCUUGAAUCCCAAAGAAUAAUACGUACAAUAAGUUUUCUAGCUGGAAAAUAUGAUAAAGAUACCUAAAUUGGGUAUUUAUAUGUUCUCAGGUAUAGAGGAUUUAAAAUUUAAACUCAAAAAAGCCGCAUCCAAGUCGACGGUCACUUUAACGGCCCAUCAAAAGCCUGACGGUCCAUCGCGUGAACAGCCGCUGAUGGUCCCGAAGUUCCAUGUUCUGGUUAAGGGUUGACAGUCAUGUUGGUGGACUGUCACUAGCUUGGCAUUCCAUCGCAUAGGCCGUCGUUUGGUCCUAUAGAAGUUUAAGUUUUAUUUCAGCCUGACGGCCAAGUUGGUGGUCCAUCGGGGAUUCGAUGGUCUGUCAUUUGGACCAUCGCAGGACUCACUCAAUUAUUCCUUUUUGUUUCACUCUGACAGUUACCUUGGCAGUUCAUCGCAUGACUGAUGGUACGCCAGUUCGCCCACCCAUCUGUGGCCUUUUUCUGUUAUUUUUCCAAGUUUCUUUUUUAGCUAACUCUUUGACCUAAAAACACUAAAAUCCAGUAUUAAAUACAACAUCGGUGGUUUGAAAGCAUACAAUUAUUCCUUGAAAAAGAUGUAAAAUAUUUCAUCCAAAUUCGGAACAUCAAACCCUCAAAUUAAGAUAAUUGUUUGCCGUUAAGCAACUCAGCACCAAAUAGUAUACAUGAAUAACACAACGAUAGGAAAUCAACUAUUGAACUAGAUUUCACACAACCAUUCACUAGUCAUAUCACUCAUAUAGGCUCAACACAUCAGAAUCUACAACCGACAUUGUUUAUAAUUCAGCACACAUACAAACAUAGAUAUAAUAUCCCACAGAGAUUGGCAAAACUAAGUGUAACCUAAGUUGCCCUCACAGUCAAUGAAAUCCACCACUCAUUAUAUAUUGUGGACAAAAAUCAAGACUCUCACACUCAUCAAAGAAGUUACAAACAUAGCAUACACACCCAUAAGUUUGCCCUUAUUAUCUAAUGCUCCCUUAUAGUUGACUCGCAAAGAUUAAGCAGGUCUUUUUUAGGCUUGUAAUGAGGCUCUGGGAGGUAAGGACAAAUUUUAAGAGAAGUGACUCAACAUUUAGACUUAACUCUCUUUGCCCUUGAAUUCUACUCACCAAGGCUACUACUUUACCAGCUCACUUACAAUCUCUAUUAUUCAUUCACACUUUUCCAGAACCCCCAUUUUUAUUAUUUUUUAUAUAAGCAUCAGCCACCCUAACUUAUGUUGAUGCAGUUAGUUAAGGUGCACAAUAUCUUAAAUAGAUGCUUCAUUUUAGCUCUAAGCCACCUUCUCAUUACGGCUAACAUCUUGACAGUAGCCACCCUCAACUUAGGUGUUUUUCCUAAGUUAAGCUGCACAAUGUCCAAUAUUGGACCAGGGCCAAAUUUAGGUGUUAACAACCUAAAGAGAAUUAAUUAGAGUUAUUGGGAAUGAAGAAAACUAACAUAAGCUCAAAAAGGGUUCAAAAAUGGAAAUAAUCUUUUUGGUGGGUAAGUUAUUUCAGCUAAGUGGACUAAAAAUAAAGGGGGCCUGCUAUCAUAUCCUAUUGAAUCAACCACAAAACAACAUCAAUGAACCGGGUAAGUUCUAGUUGUUACACUAUGCAAGAACUAACACAAAUACUCGCACACACAGGCAACUGAGUCAAACUUAUUCUACUAUUUUUAGGAUUUUCAUCACAUGAUCAUGCAUAUUUUACAUGUUAAUGCCAAUUACAGAAUCACCAAUGGUUGUUCAACCUAUGCUAACUGACAAGAGGAAAUAGCCAUACAAACAUGUUCAUAGUUUUAUGCCAUAGUCAAACAUCAUCCACAUAUACAAAAAAAUGCUAAUGGAAAAGACACUUCCAUAAAUAACAUUAACAAUGAAUAUUUACAUCAUAAUUACUUAGGAAAAUAAAAUGCAAUCCUAGACAUACCGAUUAUACUAGAUAGCACAUGGGAGGAAAGAACACAGGCAACAAAAACCCCCGUGGUACAAGUACACCUAACCCUAUAUAAAAUAAAUAUGUUAUCCUCAAUGCAUAUAAGUAAAGUACAGAGGAGGGGAAUACUUGUAAAGCCUCUAAUUCAGAUGAGGCAUUAAUAAAAUGUGGUGAGGCUCCAGUGUCCUCACCUGCAGCAAUGUUGAUCCCUAAGGUGGUAGGGGUACUCACAAUCUCUUCCUCCGAAAUUGGAGCUAUCACAUCUCGAGCUAGGUCUGAAUUGGCCCCCCUUGCUGGGGAGAAACUGGUAGAAACUCCUGCAGCUUCAUCUGAUGCCUUCUUCUUCCUUUUCUCUUUAUCUUUCCUCGAUCCUUUUAUAGCUUUCUAGAUAUCAUACUCUUACUUCUUUUUUGGUGUCAUUACUUCUCGCUUUCUUCUUUUGGUAGCUUUUCAAUCCAUACUUUUAUCCGCACUUUCAUCUACCUGCUUGACUUUGUCUUUCACUGGCUUCCCCAUCAAGUCAACAAUACUUUAUCUUUAUCUUCAUCGCUUAUCACCAGAGCGGGGUCAAAAAUGGACUACUGUGGUAGCUUUCUCUUUAACUCUACUAUGUUCGCCUGAUCUUGUUUAAAUUAUGCCAUGAACUUAGCAAGAUCUAGAAUGGACAUCGUAUCCAGCCUUUUAUUGAUUCUCUCUUUGAUAUGAUCCAUCCUAAUCUAAAUGUUUUGAAAUGGACGGAUUUCCUUAGCCAUAAUUUGAUCAAUAAAAGGCUUAAAUUGUGAAGCCUAUAUGUGUAUAUACUUCUUAUACUUCUUCUGCAGCUUAACUGGCUUGGCAAAAUUUUCCUGCAUCAACCUGUACUCCGAAUAAUCUGGCCCACCCGUUGGCAGCAUAGAUUCUAAUCCUGACGGCAUACCUGUGGGAAUUUUAGCAGUAUCAGGGGUUGGCACCGACUGUGUCUAGUAGGAUGGAGGUUUUUUGACUCGCAUCUCAAACUUUGAGUCAUCUUUUGAUUUCUCAAUGUCCUAUCUAUGUGUAGCCCAAACUGCAUUAUCAACUCCUCGAAUUAGAGGCACAUUAGCCUGCCUUCAUAGCUCCUUGGUUAAACAUGAGAACGGUAGUGCGCUUGCCACUUUGUGUACCCUCACAAACAUUUCAUGAGCAAUGAUUCGGCUGAAAUCAAUCUUCAGCCCUACAAUCAAACUAGCCACCAACACAGCCGUGUGACUAUCCAAAUUGGCAUUGCCUCCUAUUGGCAUCAAUCUCAAUUGAACAAUGGCCCACCAGAAUUUAGCCCAAAAUCUAAGGGAGGAUUUAGCAAUGCACUCUCAUGGGUUUGUUGCCCAGGUAAGGUCACCGUCAUCAAUAAGUAGCCCAGAUAACCAAAGUCUUUGAGUAGAUACUGAAGUCAGACAAUACUCAAGAUCAGGAACCAUAGUUGGUGCCUCAUAGUCAGUCCCAAACAACAUCCUGUUGAUUAUUUAAGCUGAUAUAUCAUUGUUAACUCCUCUUACCAGAAUUGAUUCUUUGUUGGGAAAGUCUGAAAUCUUUAAGCCCUUGAGAUAAUCUUUCUCUGCCAGUGCCAAGUAAUUGGCAAAAAACUCCCAUACAAGAUGCGUUUGAUAUGAAGAGGUUUGCUCAUCCAGGCUAAAUCAUACUCGUUAAAUAGUCACUCCAGCUUUGGAUAUUCAUGCAACUCAGAGGUCACUAUCUGAUACUCUUCAAUGAUUAUCCUCUUGAUUGCCCUGGUUGCAAGGGGUUCCAAUCCAUCAAGGUAUUUGUCCCUUACACGAUCGACUUGCCAUCUAAGUGCCUCUCUUGUUUGUAGAUCCUUGCCCUUGAUCACAUUCGUCUUCUCAGUUUCUGUCUCAACAGGGCCAGUUUCUGCCUCAAUGGGGUUGGGGUUAGAUGCGUUGACCUCUUCCUCAUCUGGGCUCAAACUGGUGCUACUAGUGUUUCUCUCACUCUCCUCUUCAGACUAGGAGAAUGUGUGGAGUGACUUGUCUUAUUAUCAAGUAUUAAAGGCAUAUGUCUCCUCACUCCUAGCCAGCUCGCCUCUUCUCCUUUAUUCUCUACCACCGCCUCUGGUUAAGGGUAGUUUUCAUGCCAUAUUACCUGAGAAAGGAACACAUAAUUAGUUUACUAUUUAAAACUGGUCUAAAAAGGUGAAAAAAUGGAAUGACAAAAGUUCUGAUGGUCCAUCAAUACUGUUAUGAUCCGUUGAGUUCACCGUCAGGACUUAACCAGUAAGUCUCUUUUUAAAUAGCCUUGCAACAGUCAACUUGGUGGUCCGUUAGGUUACUGAUGGUCUGCCAAGUCAUCCGUCACAGCUUAUCCUGUGAACAUCAACUUUGGCAUUUUUGUGACGGGCUAUCUGGCAGUCCGUCGCAGGUCUGAUAGUCCGCCAAGGGAGCCGUCGACACCUCUUUUCACUUUCAGACUUUGCUUUUACAUUUUGUCAAACACCUGGUUGCCUUCUUACUUCUUAACAUAACAAUGGCAUGAAGAAAUUUUACUCAGACUUCACCCAGAACAACGCACACCAGAGUUCGACUUUGAAAUUAUAAUAAGAACAAAGAAAAAACAAGAGGGAAUUUUCUUUCAUAACCAACAACUUACUUACUCUAUAUUUAGCAAUUCAAAGAAGAAAAAUAAGGUUGUGAUCAUACCUUGAUGGUGCAGUAACUUCACUUUUCUCAUUUGCAAAUUCAGAGUGAAAUAAAAUUCACAACCUUUUUUAUUUAUUGAUAACUUAUGUUGUGAUGAGAAGAAAAGGGGGAUGGGUUCAUUUAAGUAAGAGAGAAAAGGAAGAAGGAGAGUCCUAAAAGGGAAUAACUGAUCCCAGAUACUCUGAAUAUAGAGGGAGUUAAACAGUUUUAGGAUUUGAAUAGGUACCAACGCAUGUAACCGCUUUUUCUUAUAGAUUUAAAAGCAUUUAGGUUAGAUACAGGCAAUUAAAUAAGCCUUCAAAUUAACCCGACCAGACCAGUCAGACUAGGGUUAAGUUGACGGUCCGUCGGGUGUCUGACGAUCCUCCAGGUUGACCUUUAACGCUUUUCGAAAACAUGUAAAUCAUGCCUUUCUAUGAUGGUUGAUCCAAUGAUCUGUCAGUGAUGCGAUGGCCCAUCAGACUAUCCGUCAGUUCAAUCCAGAAACUCUAAAUUUUGGCUUCAGCGUGACAGAGGAAGUGACGGUCCACCGGGACGGCGAUGAUCCACCAACUUGACCGUUAAGCCUUAUCCAGAAUGUCUAUUUUUUAUGACGGCUUUGACAAUUUUGUUGACAGUCUGUCGUAUCCUUGACGGUUAGUCAGUCUUCCCAUCACUCUUUACCAACUGUAGAAAAUCCUCUCUUUUUGCAUUUCUCAAUCUUGCACACUUCACAAACACAUCAAAUUACACAAAAACAACAAAUAAAAUCUAACUAUGAUUAUAACAACACUUUAUGGGUUGCCUCCCACUAGCGCCUGAUAUAUUAUCACGGCACGACUGGGUUACCUCGAUUACUCAAACUUCAUCGAGAUAUACAACGGACUACAGCUUUGCAUCAUCGGUUGGAUCAAUAUAUGUCAUGACUCUUUGCCCAAUAACUUUGAACAGACUUCUAUCUUUACCUCCAAGUUCCAUCACACCUGAUGGAAACACUUGACUUACCUUGAAUGGUCCAGACUAUCCUGAUUUCAAUUUGCCCGAAAAAAGCCGAAGUUAAGAGUUAAACAAUAACACCUAAUCACCAGAUUAAAAAUCUCUCUUCUCUAUUCUGCGGUCAUGGUAGUUGUUCAUUCUUUUUUUAUACAGAUCGGCUCUUUCGUAAGCUCCGAGAAAAAAAUCGUCCAUCUCAUUUGAUUGUCCCAACCUUAACUCAGCUGUUUCUUUCCAGUUCAUGUUUAAGUCUAUUAAGAGCCCACAAAACCUUGUGCUUUAGUUCGACCGAAAGAUGACAUACUUUGCCGUAGACCAGCUGAUAUGGUGAUAUCCCAAUAGGUGUCUUAAAAGUAGUUCGAUAUGCCCAAAAGGCAUCGUCGAGCUUUUGAGACCAAUCUUUUCUGCUCGUGUUCACCAUUUUAGCUAAAAUUGCUUUUAUCUCUCGGCUUAAAACUUCCACUUGCCCAAUGGUUUAUGGGUGAUAAAGAGUAGCAACCUUAUGCUGAUUUAAACUGUAUUUCAACAAAACAGCUAGGAAUACUCGGUUGCAAAAAUGUGAUCCACCAUCACUUAUGAUGGUACAUGGUAACCCAAAGCGAGAGAACAUGUUCUUCUUAAGGAAUGUAACCACUCUCUUUCCUUCAUUAUCAGCCAAAGCGACUGCUUCGACCCAUUUUGACACAUAAUCAACGGCGACCAAUAUGUAUUUCAACCCAUAAGAGCUCACAAAGGGCCUCAUGAAAUCAAUGCCCCAUACAUCGAACAACUCGACUUCCAUCAUUUUUGUUAUGGGCAUUUCAUGGUGCUUUGAGAUUGACCUUUGUCUCUGGCAUUGGUCACAUCUUCGCACAAAAUAAUAGGCAUCCUUGAAUAAGGUUGGCCAGUAAUAACCGCUCUACAGUACUUUCCUUGUAGUACAGUCACCUGCAUGGUGACCCCCGACCGGAGAAGCAUGACAAGCUCCCAGGAUAUUCAAUAUGUCAACCUCUAGAACACACCAUCUAAUAAUAUUAUCCGCACACCAUUGAAUUAGAUACAGCUCAUCCCAGAAGCAGUGUGUAACAUCAUGCAGGAACUCCUUCCUUGGAUGAAAAGACAGAUUAUCCAGGAUGAGUUCACUUACCACAUAGUUUGCAAAGUUCGAAUACCAAGGUACUCUUUCAAGCGAAGCAGCGAGGAUCUUCUCAUCUAGAAAUGUAUCAUCAACUUCAAACUCAUCCUCAAAUACUUGAUCACCCUCAAGUCUGGACAGGUGAUCCGUGACUUGAUUUUCACAUCUUUGUCAAUCUUUGACUUCAAAGUCAAUCUCUUGUAGAAACAGUACCCAUCUGAUUAACCUUGGUUUCACAUACUACUUCGCCAUCAAAUAUCUUAAGGCAGUGUGGUCUAUAUGAACCACCGCCUUUGUUCCUAACAAGUAAGGAGGGAACUUCUCCAAACCAUAGACAACUGCAAAAAAUUCCUGCUCAGUAAUAGUGUAAUUCUUUUGUGCCCCAUUAAAUGCCUUGCUCUCAUAGUAAAUGAGGUAUAAUAAUUUUUCUUUCUUCUGGACAAGCACAGUACCCAGUGCUACUCCACUAGCAUCGCACAUGAUUUCAAAAGGCUUAGACUAGUCUGGAGCAAUAAUAAUAGGGGCAGCAACAAGCUUCUCCUUAAGGCAUUCAAAUGCCUUCUUGUACUCCUCAUCAAAUACAAACCUAGCUUCUUUAUCCAACAAUUUGCAUAGCGGAUUAGUGAUCUUGGAGAAUUUAUUAAUAAAUCGGCGAUAAAAUCCAGCAUGACCUAAGAAACUACACACUCCCUUCACAAAGAUGGGAGGGGGUAAUUUCUCUAUUACCUCUACUUUUGCCCUGUCAACUUCAAUCCUUCUAGCAUCGAUUUUGUGACCAAGAACAAUGCAUUCCUUUACCAUGAAGUGGCAUUUUUCUCAACUAAGCACAAGAUUAAAUUCUUCGCACCGCUGCAAUGCUCUACUCAGAUUCACCAAGCAUAGUUCAAAAGAGUCACCCACCACUGAAAAGUCAUCCAUAAAUACCUCCAAGGUGUUCUCCACCAUGUCGGAGAAUAUAAACAUCAUGCACUGUUGGAAUAUAACGGGUGCAUUACAUAAUCCAAAUGGCAUCCACUUGAAAGCAAAAGUACCAUACGGGAAAGUAAACAUCGCCAUCCCUGAUCCUCUAGAGCAAUAGAAAUCUGGUUGUAGCCUGAAUACCCAUCCAAGAAACAAUACCAACCUCUUCCUACUAACCGAUCAAGUAUUUGAUCCAUAAAAAACAUUGGGAAGUGGUUCUACAAAGUCCAUGAGUUGAGCUUAUAAGAGUCCAUACAAACUCUCCACCCAGUCAUAGGCCUGAGAGGAAUCAACUCGGUUUUCUCAUUCACCACAACAGUCAUGCACCCUUUCUUGGGUGCACACAUUGAACAAGGCUUCCCCACUUACUAUCGAAAAUUAGGUAUACAACUCCUGCGUCCAUCUAUUUAAUGAUCUCCUUCUUAACCACCUCUUGUAUUGGUAGGUUAAGAUGACAUUGGUGCUCAAUGGUUGGUGUGCAAUCUUCCUCAAGAUAAAUCUUAUGAGUGCAAAUUCUGGGAGAAAUACCAAUGAUAUUCGCAAUAGUCCAUCCUAUGGCCCUUUAAUAUCGUCUAAGCAUAGAGAUAAGUGCCUCAACCUGGUGCUCACCUAAUUCAGCAGCAAUAAUCAUAAGCAAAGUAUUUCCACUGCCUAGAAACGCAUACCGUAAAUGCCCUGGCAACUUCUUCAACUCCAAUACCGGUGGCUCUUCGAUAGAUGGCUUAGCCGGAGGUAUUGGUCAAUUUUUUAGAUCUAAGUCCAGCUUCUUGGGAGCAUAUGAAUAAGAUCUCAUUCCCGUCAAAGCACACACUGUCUCUUUAUACUUUUAAAUACCUUCACUGUCGAAAUUCAUCAAGACUACAGCCAGAGUUUCCACAGUAAAUUUCGCCUCGAUUGGAACCUCUUGUUCAUCUUUAUAAUAAAUAUCAACAAUGGAAAAUACACUCAUCUCCUUGGGUUACUUCAUAGAUUGGCACACAUCAAAGCAAACCACCUCAUCAUUAAGCCUAAACAGUAACUCAUUAGCCCUCAAAUCAAUAAGGACACUUUCAAUUGCGAGAAAAGCUCUACCCAAGAUUAUGGGUACCUCAAAAUUCACCUCGCAGUCUAAAAUAACAAAGCCCGUAGGAAAUAUAAAGUUGGACAACUUUACUAGCACAUCAUACAAUAUCCCCACUAACGACUUCACAAACCUAUCUGCCAUCACCAAUUGCAUAUUUAUGGGUGCAGGCUCUUCCAAACCCAACCUCUUAUAAACAGCGAGUGGCAUCAAGUUAAUUCUUACUCCGAGAUUGCAUAAGGCUUUAGCAAAAUCAAGCGACCCAAUAGUAAAAGAAAUGUUGAACGCUCCUGGUUCAGCUUUUUUUUGUACCAAGGAUGUUGUUGAGAUAGAGAUACAAUGGUGAAAAUUAUCCACCAGUUCUUAGCUAACUGUUCUCUUCUUCGUCAUGAGAUCCUUCAUAAACUUGGCACAUCCUGGCAUCUGCUCUAGUGUCUCCACUAAAAGUACAUUCACUGUCAACUGCUUCAAUAUUUCCAUACAAUUGCUGAACUUUAUGUCAUCAGCUUUCUUUUUCAGUCAAUGAAGGAAGGGCGGCGGUGGUUUUGGAAGAGUAGUAACCACUGCCUCCUUCUCCUUUUUCUUUACUUCAUCUAACUCAUCAACCUUCUGAUGGUUAGAUGUACUCACAUUACCAUCUAGCUUAUCAGACUUCACUGGAUGGGUUUCAUCAUCUUCUACCUCUUCUUCGAUCAUAGCCUUGCCCACAGAAUGGCCAGGUAAUACUUCACCACUCCAAGUGAAACUGCCAUGCAAGAGCUAUCAUUUUGAGGACUAUGUAUGGUAUCGCUAGGUAAGGUACCAGUCUUCCUCUAAUUAAAUACUGCCAAGAUUUGGCUCAUCUGCUACUCCAACUGCUUAAUAGAAGUUGAGUUUGAAUUUACUAGCUUAAUCAUGGAAGAUAAGUCACUCUUCAUCGUCGUCACCCCAGCAUUGGUAGCCUCAACUCCCUUUAAUAGUUUCUCUAUCAUGUUCUCCAUAGAAAUCUUGGCUGAACUGGUAGCUGCAUUAUCUCGAUUUCUAAAAGGUACAUAUAGUCCACUCCUGUUAUUUUUGUUCUUCCAAUUCCCUUGGUUCGUAUCUUUGUAACAGCCUUGUCAUAAUAGUUCCGACCUUGAUUUCUUUGGCUAUUACCUUGGAAACCCCCUUGAUUAUUUAGAUAGUUUACCUCCUCCUCGGAAUCAGAAUCAGCUCUGAUAGCCUAAAGGACUAUCAAACACGAAAUGGACACUAAAGGAACAAAAAUCAGCAAGUUCACAAAGAGAAAACAAGACACUAGAAGGAGAUGAAGAAGAAGAAUUGCAUGAAAUUAAAGAUAGAUAGAGAGACCCUCACUUCCACCAAUGAAUAGAACUAGAAGGUGUAUCAAACCUUCAAACAUACAUCACCAAUGUAAUAUCAAACCACUCUCUUAGGUGACCCAAAGGAAACACUCUUCCUAAAGCACACCUUUCUUGCCAAAUUUCCCAAUACAAGUGAAACCCUAACUUCAAAUGUAUUCAAGGAACCAAUUUCGGGUUUGAGAGAUAAAACUACAAGACUAAAGCUACAAUAUAAGAAUAAUAUCCAGUUUCAUCAAAGUCUAAUAAAAAUAAAAGCUAAAGGGUCUAUUUAUACUUAUUACAACCAAUGACAAAAAUACCCUUAAUGAAGGGUGCUCCUUUAGAGUGUAAAAAUAAUUCAUUAAAAGAAAAGAAUGCCCUUAAUGAAUAGGCACCUUUGUGUUGUAGGAAUUCCUCCUUCUCUUUUUAUUUGAACAAAGCUUUGUAAUGUCUCCAAAAGGGUCUUCUAGUACUUGUAAAUUUUGAAGCUUAUUCCUUUGAUAAGUCCUUGCAAUCCUUAUGCACUUUAGGCUUGUAUCAAGCUCUGUAUUGCGACCCAACAGCUUUUACCUUCUCAGUCUUCCCAGAUAAUAAGUGUUUAGUAAGCAGGUCCAUCUGGGUUUUCAUAUGUUUCAUAUCCUGGACACAUUCCUCCUCUUUCUAGUGUUUUUCUAUAGAUAUACCACUUGAUAUAGCAGGGUUUACUACCAUAGAAUCCCUGGUAUCCCAAGCUUUACUCUUCUUAGUUAACCGCUCCAACAUAUCUGUUGCCUCAGUAAAUGUAAGAUCCAUGAAUUCUCUUCCUGUAGCAUUGUCUAUAGUUGGUUUAGUGAUAGAGUUUAAGUCUCUAUAGAAUGUCUCCAUCAAAUACUCAUCGGUCAUUUUAUAGUUUGCACACUGUGUAAGCUUCUUUUUGAAUCACAUCCAAGUCUCAUGUAGUGCCUCAUUCUGUAACUGUCUGAAGUUGCUUAUCUCAUACCUCAACUAUAACAUCCUGGAGGGUGGAAAAAACCUUUCUAGGAAAGCUCCUUUUAGUUACCUCCAGUUUGUUAUCGAAUCAGGUGCCAACUCAUUUAGCCACAUUAUUACCUCCACAAAUAGAGACAGUGGGAAUAGCCGAAGAUGAAUUGUAUUUUGUCCAAGGCCCGAAUUGUCAAAGGACUUGCAAAUGUUGAUAAAAUUCACCAAAUGCAUGUUUGGAUCAUCUCCUGGAAUCCUCCAAACAACCCCUUAAGAUUGAGCAGCUGUAACAUGGUGAUACUUAUAUUAAACUUUACCUCAGGUACUAGUGGUGGUGAGAUGAUUGCUCCGGUCGAUCCAGCCUCAUCUAAAUAUGUGCCAUCAUCCUCAUCAGGUGUAAAAUGCAUAGUAGGUUGUAUUUUGCUCUACCUCUAGCCGCCCGAUUUCUAUUUAUAACCACCUCUAUAUUCUCUUCACGCCUCCUGUUUGUUGGGUUAAUCAAAUUAUCAUCCCCAAAAUCCUCCUCAUCAGGAUUAGGGUCACGAGCUGGUUGACCGUUAUUCUGCCAGUUAACCUGUGCUCUAGCCAAGGCAGCUAGCCUAUCAACCUCUUAUUGUUCUUCCAUUCUACCAAUUAGAUGUGGUUUAGGAUAAAGGGUAAUAGCAUUUCUCCUGAACUUCUGGUGCGUGGCAUAAACAACAAUAAGCCUGUAAUGAACCAUAAACAACAAAUAAAGGUAAAAUUUGGGAAACUUGACCAAAGGUUAAUUAAUCAUCACAAACUUAAUUGACAAUCGUAUUCCUGAGCAAUGGUUCCAAAAUAAAAUAGGCCCAAAUUAUAACUCUCGUUAGAAAGUGUAAGCGGUCGUUGUCAAAUAUAGAACCCAACUAGGUUGGGGUCGAAUCCCAAAGGGAAUACUGUGCAAACUAAGUGUUAUGGUUGUUAAUAGACUGUUGAUCAAAGGCUUCUAAGUAAAGGGGGUUUUAAAUUUGUAAUAGUGUUUAAAUGGUUGUAACAAGUAGUAUUCCAACUAAUGACCUUUAUUGCAAGUACUAAUUCAAUGAAAUCAAACAAACUAGAGUUAUGUUCACCAAGAUGUUCAAAAAGAGGGGGUUGUGAAUUCUCUUAAAUUUCCAAUUUACAACUUCAAUUGCAAGAGUUAUUGAAUUCUAAAGUUUACCCAUUUAUUUCUCAACCAAAAUAAGUAGUUUACCCUUUAAUUUUUUCGAACUCAAAGAAUAUAUGAAGUUAUUCAAUUAAUCUCUCAUGUGAGUCAAUCCUUAUUUAAGGCAUCAACUCAUAACCUAAAGGUUAAGGUCUUUAGACUUUAUGUAAACUCCUUAUUUUCCCAACAUAUACCUUUCUUCUUAGACAAGUAAUGUUCUUGCGCUCACCCUUUAAGUUAGCAACAAAGAAGGGUCAUUAAAGUGAAAAAUAGUUUAUACAAUCUCAAUUACAUAUGGAAAUUAAGCAUCCUUACGACCCCGAUUGUUGUUCACAUCAAGGCUCCCAUAACCCUAGUUAUGGGAAUUUAGCCACACAUCUCAAGAGAACAAGAAGAGAAAAUAAUUGUGUUCUUCCUAAAUGGAUUCAAAUUAUUACUUACAAAGAUUACAAUAAUUGUUCUUCAAUCUUCAAUGAGAAUCUGAAUAAAGAUAACUAGAUCCACAAUUCUUACUUGAAUCCCAAAGAACAACAUGUACAAUGAGUUUUCUAUCUGGAAAAUAUGAUAAAAGAUAACUAAAUAAAACCUAAAUUGGGUAUUUAUAUGUUCCAAGGUACAUAGUAUUUAAAAUUUAAACUCAUAAAAGCCGCAUCCAAGUUGACGGUCACUUCGAUGGCCCGUCGGAAGCCUGAUGGUCCGUCGUGUGGACCGCCGCUGAUGGCCCUAAAGUUCCAUGUUCUGGUUAAGGGUUGAUGGUCAUGUUGGCGGAUCGUUGUUGGCCUGGUGGUCCUUCGCAUGGGUUGUCACUUGAUCCUCUAGAAGUUCAAGUUCUGUUUUAGCCUGACAGACAAGUUGGCGGUCCAGCGGGGAUCCAACGGCCCAUCACUUGGACCAUUGCAGGACUCACUCAGUUAUUCCUUUCUGUUUGACUAUGACGGUCACCCUGGUGGUCUGUCGCAUAACUGACGGUCCGCCAGUUCACCCGUCAGUGGCCUUUUUCUACUACUUUGCCAAGUUUCUUUUUCAGCUAACUCUUUGACCUGAAAACACUAAAAUCUAGUAUUAAAUACAACAUCGGUUGCUUGAAAACAUACAAUUAUCCCUUGAAAAGAUGUAAAAUAUUUCAUAAAAAAAUAAAAUAUUAAUAUUCUAUUAUAAAGGUAUUUUGGGAGAUUAAUGAUACCCUUGUGAAAUAUGUAAAGGUCAGGUUUCAUGUUGAUAUUUCGGGAAUAUAUUGGAUCAGAAUAAUAGAUGAACUACAAUCAGUUAGAUUUAUGACUUAUUUUAAGAUGAUCUAUUGGAAACCUCCUGAGACUGGAUGGCUAAAAUAAAAUACAAAGGGUGCAUCAAAAGGAAAUUCAAGACCUAGUUCUAUUGCAUUUUGUAUUAGGGACCAACACGAUAACUUAUUGGUGGCUCAAGGUAAUAGAAUUAGAGACACUACAAGCUUGGAGGCAGAAACAAUAGCUAUUAAGGAAUGUCUAAAAUAUUACAAAAGGAGUUCUAUUAAUCAGCUUAUACUAGAAAGUGAUUCUUGGACUAUGGUUCAGAUUCUAAAUGAAUAAUAGGAGAUAUCUUGGAGUUUGACUAUGUUGGUUAAAUCCAUCAAGGCAUUGAUGGAAAACAUGACGGUCAGGGUGAUACAUUCCCUUAGGGAAGGUAACACUCUAGCUGACUUUUUACUAACUUAGCCUUUACUUGUGCUGGUGAUUUUAAUUUUAACAAAGUGGAGAAACUACCAGGAAAAAAAAGAGUUAUAUGUGACUUAGACAAAGCUGGAAUUCCAGCUAUAAAAAGAAUUGAGCAGGAAAUCGAAGUCAAUAACAUUAACAAGUAGCACAGCAGAGAGGAAUUCAUCAAUACAUCAAUGCAAAAACAGGAAUAAAUCCAAGCAUGAUGAAAGGAAUUUGGUACAAGCAUAAUAAAGGAAAAAAUAAGAACUUGAUAGCUGUAUGGGUCAUCCAUUAGAUGAACAGAGGGCAAGGGUGAAGAUCCAGGUGACACCUACAAACAAACAGCCUUAGAGAUGUAAUUAGAUUAUGAAGUAUAUAUUGGGGAUUUACUGUGGAAAUGACAAACCAACUGUUCGAAGUGAAUUUUAUUGAAUACAUAACCUACAUCUAGUGAGAUAAAGGGGUUUUGAAGGUAAUGGUAUUCAAACAGUUGGAAAUCAAAUCCAAAAUGCAAUCCCUAGAUAUAUAUAUAGUAAUAAUCAAUGGCACUGAGCAAUAGAUCUUAACUUUCUUUAAACUAAUUGAUAGUAAGGUGGUGGUUUUAGUUUCUAUGAAACCCAAUCCACUAAUUAGAGAUUAAAGAAAAGUAAGGUUAAGAACUUAGCUUUAGUAGAGCAUGAAGAUGAAGAUGGUAACUAUGCGAUCAACAGCAGUGAAGGUCGCAGAUUCGAUGAUGUUCCGAUGAAGUCAGGGGAAGAGCACGGGGCGUAGCUAAAAUAGUUUCCUAAUUUGACCUAAUGUUUUGGUCUUUUGUCUGAUAUUUGUCGAGAAAUGGACCCGAGCCAAUCCAAGUUUGGGCUUGACGCAGGUAUUAUAAAAAAUGGGAUUAUAUUUUGAUUUAAUAAAAAGGGGCUCUAGCCCUAUUUAUUUUUAAAAAACAAGAAUACUGAUAAUUUCUUCGUUUUUAUCUCGAUUUCGCUAUGUUUACACUAGGACAGUAAGAUUAAAAGACAUUUGGUACAUAUUACACAAUUUCAUUUGAGAUCACAAAAUUUUAAAUCUACUUUAAUUUUUUAAAAUAUUUUAUGUUAAAUCAAGAAAAAAUUGAAACAAAAAAACUAUUUAUUAUGACAUCAAAUUGAUAAUACUUUUGGAACACGAAAACAAAAUACUCAUUUACUAUAUUUUCAAAAUUGUUAAAAACAUUUAAAGUAACAAAGAGAUAAAUCUAUUAACUUAUUAAAGACAUUUUGUGUACUAUAUAUAUGUAUAUAUAGAGAGAGUGUCUAUUAAUUUAUUAGUCUCACCAUUUAUUUUUACUUAUCCACUUUCAUAUUGACAUAAGGAUUAAGAAGUUGUAACAGAUAGGUCUAAUUAUAUCAUAUUACCCUUUGCAUAUAAUAAAUUUAAAUCUUUGAAAAAUGUAUUAGAUAAUAAAUCAUAUUUAAUGUUGAAUGUAAAAUGGAUAGAAAUAAAUAAAUUAUUCAUUAAUUUUAUAAACUGAAUAAAUAUUAUUGAACAUCCAAAAAAGAAAAAUUAACAAGUAAAAAUGUACUGAUAAAUAGUAAAAAAGAACCACAUACAUUGAUGAAAUAAAUGGGCCACAAAAUAUUAAAGAUUUGAUAUACUUGAUAGUCAAUUCAGCAGAUCCUAAGCUCCUCUCUAAUUCCUUUUUCUAUUAUAGUACCUACUUCGUCAUCAAUAGUUAUUCAUUAUUGACUUAACAAAUAAGUUAAGAAAUAAUAAAUGAAAUGGAUAAUUUUAUCAUAUUACCCUCUAAAUAUAAUAAAUUUAGUGCUUUGAGAAAUGCAUUGUAUUUAAUUCUAAGAAUAAAAUAGAUAAAUUAUCUAUUGAUUUUUUAAACUGAAUAUAUUGUUGAACAUCAAUUUUUAUUAUAGUGAAUAAGUAAAAAUAGAAAAUAAAGUAAAAUAUUAUACUACAUAGAAGGAAAUUAAGAAGACAUUGGUCAUAAGUCUUUUCCCAAAUAAUCAAAAAUAAAAAUAUUUGUAUUGUCUUUGCUUUUGUUUAUUAUGAUGAUGAUAUGAAAUAAAUUUAAACGAAGAGGUAAGGAUUUACAUAAUUGAUCCGAAUUUACAUAAUUGAUCUCAACUUAAAUAAAUUGAGAUUGAGAUAUAAUAAUUAUUAAUAUUUUUACUUUUCAGAAAAAAUAUUAUUUCACUAUUAGCUCUUUUUCAUGUGGUUGGAAAUUACAAGCAGUUGUAUAAGCAACUUGUGGCAUCAAAUAAUAAAGGCACAAUAUAUUAACUAAAAAUUUCACAAAGCCACAACUUAAGUAUCAUUUAUUACAUAAAAUUCGAACUCUCAAAACAUAUUAUAAAAAUUCCACUUUUUCAAUUUCUCUCUCUAAAAGUACAUAUACAUAACUUUACUAAUUUUUGUAUAGCUUGUUCUCCUUGGAAGAAGCCUAAAAUCAAGGAGUCAUUAUGUAGCAGUUACCAUUUUUAAAUUCAUUACCAUGUUUGAUUCAAACUCUUACUCGAUUGCAUUCAAUUCUAACAAAAACGUCAUUUUUAACAUUCUGUAAUUUUUAAAAUCUGAGGUUAGUUAUUUUUUUCCCAACUUUACCAAAAAGUAAUGGAUUCUGAUUGAACAAUUUCUUGUAUGUUGUUCAUUCAAUAGAAUAAGUUCUUUCAUGUACUCCAUUCACUCAUUAUUACUUAGUAAAUGGAUGAUACUCCAUUUUUAGUUUAGGAUUUCAUUGUGAACCAGCAAAUCGGAUUAUUGGGUUCCUUCCCGGAGAAUUUGAUUACGAGAACCAUAAUUUUUUUGAAAGUAGAUCAAAACAUCCCAUUAAAAUGAAGAAGCUCAGGAAAGUUGCUGAUUGAAGUUCAAAAAAUUAAAUCAGAGGAGUAUUAUUUGAUUUUUUAUUUUUUUAAUUUAUUAAUUUUUUAAUUUAUUCAUUUUUUCAUUAAUGUGAGUUUUUUUUAUUUUUUAUUUUUAAAUAUGAUUGUUACUUUUGCAGUAUUAUGUGGUUUUUUUAAUGAUUUUAAGGGUGCAUUAGUAGUUGUCAGUGUAUGUACAUAUCAGUACUUAUGUAUGUAGUAGACAUAUACAUAACUGUCGGUACAUAUUUAAAAUAUAAUGAGAUGAUUGUUUAUUGUACUAAGAUAUAGUAUUUUUUUCAUCAAUGUGAGGUUUGUUGAUUUUUGAAUAUGAUUGUUAGUUUUGCAUUAUUAUGUUGGGUUUUUCAUGAAUUUGAUGGUGUAUUAGUAGUUGUCGGUGUAUAUACAUAUCAAUACUUACGUAUAUGAUAGACAUAUACAUAACUGCUGGUACGUAUUUAAAAUAUAAUGAUAUGUAUAGUUCAUAUACAUCACGGACUUUGUGUAUUGUAUUUUUAUAGUUUCUGUAGGAAUUGUUUGAUUUAGUUAUACCAAUAUACAUAUCAGAAGUUAUAUAUAUGCUACGGUUAUGCAUAUUCAAUAUUUUAUUACAGAAAGGCCUAUGGGAUUAAGUUGUUUUAAAGUAUGCUUUGAUUGAUAUUUUUGACGCAAUAUGCAUAUUAGUAUUUUUUUAGUGAUAUGAAGUUUUUUAUUUUUGAAUAUGAUUGUUAGUGUGGACAACAUUAUGCAUGUUUUUUCAUUAAUGUGAUUGUGCUUUAGUAGUGGUCAGUCUAUAUACACAACAUUAAAUAUGUAUGUAUGUUGUUUGCAUGCAGAGGACUGUGGAGUGUUUGUUGUUGGGUAUACAGAAUACCUAAGAGAAGAAAUUGUUGUGCCUUCAGUUGAUUUUGAAGCAGACUACCAUAGUAUGAGAUAUGCGUCACUUCUUCAGAAUUACGGCUUACAAAAAGUGAAGAAAUGUUAUGUUAGUGAUAAUGACGACCCUACAAGACCAAGGACAAAAUUUAUCUCCAUACCUGAUGAAACAGGAAUAAUUAGCAUUGAAUAGUCUUAAAGAAGCUUAUGGUGAAGAUUUUUUUCUUUCUGUAAAUUUGUUAGGAUUUUGGAUUAUUAAACUAAUUUAGGUAUUUUGUAUGUACAAAGCUAUUAGAACAUAUUAACUUAUGUUUUUGGAUUAUUAGUUAAACUAUUUUUUUGCAUGAUAUUGUGUGUUGUGCCUAUUACUUUUUGUUAUAAUGUACGUAUAUGUGUUAUAAAAGUUAGUAUGUGUUAAUCUUAUAGAAAUGAUAACAAUAUAUACAAAAUUUUUAUGCAAUUAUAUAUAUAAUUGAUUUAUGGAUAUUCUAUUUUCAAGCUAUUAAUCCAAUUCAACAUAUUAGAUUAGCUUAUGCAUUUUCAUAUUUUAACUAGCACCACCAUAUCUAUGUUUCAAAAUAAUGACAAUAGCAAAUUCCACUUCUUGAACAACCUAAAUCAGUAGGUUUAGCUACAUUGCAACAUACAUAUAGCAGACGCAAAGACAAGAAAACUAUAUAUUUUAUGUAUAUAUUUAUACAUUGAAGUUAAAAAUAUCAUAUACCUACUUUUUUAUUAUCAUAAUUAUUGUAUGAUUAUCAAUACAUAACUAUAUUCGUUCAUGAAUAACAAAUUCAUAUAACAAUACACAUGAGUAGUCAUAAUUUCGACAUGUUUCUUAUCAUAUACAUAGAAUUACUAUGUAUAAGUAGUCAUAUACAUAGAAUUAUUAUGUAUAAGUAGUCAUAUACAUAGAAUUACUAUGUAUACGUAGUCAUGAACAUAGACUUACAAUGUAUGUGUAGUCAUAUACAUAGAAUGAUAGUGUAUAUGUAUUCACAUACAAAAAGAUUGAAAUUAUACCUAACAACAUUGUACUAAUAAAGUUAGGAUAUAUAAUAGUUAUUUAAGAAUUUCAUAAGAUUAUAUAAUUGGUUGAAUCGGAUAAGACUAAUACAUAAACUUUCAUAUACAUAAGUAUAGGACUUCAUAUUCAAUAAAGUUAUGUAUAAGAAUGAAUAUCCAAACUAUUUGUCAACAUAUACAUUGAAGCAAUGCAUAGAAAUUGUAUAUUGUUACAUGUAUGUGUAACAUAUGUACAUACAUACCUACUUAAAAAAAAACUAGGAAACAAAAUACUUUAUUUCACAUAGAUUUGUGGUUAAAGACACCAGUUAAUUAAAGAAUAACGUAAUAGAACAUUAGCAAUUUACACUAUGAAAUAAAAUUUAAAAUAUUAAAAAAUAAUAAAACAGUAAACUGAAUAAAAAUGAUAUUCAACUGUUUGCAGCUAAAAGCAAUUAAAAUGAUUCAAAAAAGAAAUACAAAUAAUUACUAAAUGAUAAAUGAGUGAAUAAAAAUUGUAUGUAGAGUCACUGAGAGCUUAUUUCUCCUUCAGAAAAAAGUUACAAGAACGCCUAUUGUGAUCGAUAUUUUUGUACCGUCCACAUCAAUUUAUGCUUGAUGAUAGUGUUUCGCUUGAUUGUAACAUCAGUUUUGUUGAUGACAAUUUUUUGCUCCUCAAUGAUAAAAACAUCAGUUUUCUUGUAAGUGGGUACUUCCAACGUUCAUUUACAAUCUUCAUUCUAACAUCGGAGUACAUAACUGGAAGAAAAAAUAUGUAAUAUGAUUAAUAUAUACAAAAAAUUAAAGUAUGUCGUAAAGUCGUUAAGCAAAUUAAUAUAUAAUAUCUUGUAUUUUCGGGCUAGUCUAUGAACCGUCGUUCUUACCUGUAUAAGCUAUAAUCCACCCAUGUGGAUACAAGUUUCAAAAUCUUUAUCCUCAUAUUUGAUUUGCUUUUGAGGUUAAAAAUGUUCAUAGGAAUCACUUAGAGCCAAGUUGAGCUAAGAUCAUUUGAUUCGUCCAAAAUUUAAUAUUCGAUUCCACAAGGGUCUACUUUAAACAUGCAUACCUUUUGGUUCAUGUGGAAUUUUUUCAUAUCAAGCACAAACUCUGAUACCUGAAUGAAAAGUUAUGCCAUUUUUUGUGUGAGGCAGUAAACCGAUGUGAUCUCGAUGGGUCUCAUCGACUGCGUCCCGACAUGAAAAAUUGAAGUGGAUCCAAAGUUGUUUUACAUGUUAAUUCAGUUCCUAAAAGGUCUAGGAACACUUUGGUCAAUUCCCCUAACCCAAAUACCUCCCUAACACUUAAUUUCAACCCCAAAAAUAUUAGAUACAUUAUUAAUCAUCUUUUUCUCUCCAACAAAAUUGUAGCCUCCUCAAGAACACCAAGAACUCCAUGAAAUUUUCUUUGAGAAAAGAAUCAAGAAUUAAAUUUCCUAAUUCAAGAAUGCUUUCAAGUUUGUGUUUUUCCUUCAAGAUUAAAGCUUUAAGGUAUGAGGGAGUUCAUCCAUGGGUCCUCUUUCACUCAUGGAGCCCAAAAUCCAGAAUUUCAAGUUUAAAGUUAUAACCUUUGCAUUUUUCCAUGAAUUUUGUUUAUAAAUUUUCAUGAGUCUCAAGGUUACAUCAUGUUUUCAUGAAAUUGUGGGUGAUAUUAAACCUUACACGUUUGAAUGAUAUUGUUUGCUAAAUUUAUACUCUAAUUGGAGAUUUUAGAGGUGGAAUCAUGCUAUUACUACUAUUUUUAACUAUUCUUAUGCUUGUCCUAAACCAUGAAUUACAAGUGUUUGAUGAAAUGUCUCCAAGAAUGAUUUUUGAACAAAGGCUUACAUAUCAUGAUUUAACUAGUUUCAAGAUGAAUCCCCAAGUUAUGGAUUUUGCCAUUUAACUCUAUUAUUCCCUCAUGAUUAAGACUUUCUUAUGUUCAAGUUAUGAAUUUUACAUGUUUUGAUGAAAACUCAUAUCCUAUUUCACAUGAAUUCCACAUAAAUCCUCAAAUCAUGAUUUUAGUUAUGUAAGCAUGCUAUGCUUCCAUGUUUUUAAGAUAUUCCCAUGUCCAAGUAUUAAUAUCCAUGUGGUUGAUAGAAUGCCCAUGUGAAUUGAAUAGGGUAAUCAUGACAUGUUACGAUGUGUUCUCAUCCAUGUAUAAGUCCAUAAGCUCCAAAUGUUUGAAAAAAUGUCUAAAUGAAAGCAUUUGUUGACAAUCGACUAUUGUUAUGCUAUUAUGAUAACCAUGUGUUUCAUAAAAUCCCCAACUUACUGUAUUAUGGAUUAUUGAUGUUGGUCAUGUAUUCAAGAAUAUCAUGCCUUGUCAGUUUCCUUCCAUCGAGUUAUGGGGGUACUUGUACCCAAAAAUUUAGUUGUAUGCCUAGAAUCAGUGUCAUGUUUUUAAGAUACUCUCAGUCAAGCCAUGAUCCAUAGAAUUCAGUCAACCUCAUAACUCAGGAAAACUCAGUAAUUCCAGUAAUCUCAGAGAUCAAAGAAAUUACAAUAAUCUCAGUAGUAUUUCAUCAGUCAUCAAAACUCAAUAAACUCAGUCCAGUUCAGUUCAAAUAAUCAUGUUCAGUAUCUAUUAAGAUGGGAGAAGAAUUUAGCACCGAGUGAACCAAAGGAUGGGAACUCACCUGCCAGUAGAGGGUGUGAUUCUUAGAAGGAAUCCUUGCAUUCCAUAACUAUGUAGCCAGCGUUGGUUAAGAUAUCUAACCUGCCAGUUGAGGGUUGAUGAGGUGGCUUACCUACCAGUUGAGGGUUCUCACCAUUCUCAUCUGAGUACCUGUCAGUUGAGGGUUACUCACAGCUUGUCCUUACCGGUGGCGUGGUAUUAAUACCCUUCCAACUAGGGUUACAGAUUAGACCCCAACUCUGCUAUAUUACUUUAUUUGGGGCAUGUCGGUUAGAUGACUACUUCCCAUAGUUAUAGUUUCAAUCUCAGACUUAGUGAUAGAACUCAGAUAGUUCGGUAGAAUCAGGACUAUCAGAUACAGUCACUCAACUCAUAUAGAACUCAGUUCAAUUCUACAGAUUUAGGACUGUCAAAUACAGUCACUCAGCUCAGUAUGAAACUCAGUAUAGUUCCACAGAAAUAGGACUGUCAGAUACAGUCCCCUAUUUAUCAGUAAUACAGUUAUCAGUAAUCCCAGAUAUUAGUCACUCAGUUAUUAGAACUUAGUAUUUAGUUCCAGUAUGAGUCUCAGUUAUAGUAUUAGUUACAGUAUCAGUCAAAGUCUCAGUCAAAGUCUCAGUCACAGUCUCAGUCUAGUAAUCAGAUCAGUAACUUAGUUUAGUUUCAGGUUUAUUUGACCAUAGCGUACUUUUAUUAGUUAUCCAGUUAUCAGUAUUUCAAUACCUCAGUUUACAGACUAUUUCAAAAUCAUGUUAUAUGCUUGGUCUUACAUUCUCAAAAAAUACAGUUUUUAUGAAUUCAUGCUCAGUUAUCUCAUGUUACUCAGUCAGUCCCUUUCUCAUAUGCAUAAUACUCUUCGGUUUCAGUCCAAUUAUUUAGACUAAGUACAGUUCAUUUUUACAUACCCAGUAUUCAUACUGUAUCUAUGUGUUAUCAUAUCACAACUCCAGUUAUACUUAUGCCAUUAAAGUAUGUUUUACAGAAACUAAGUGUAGAGAUUCACCAGCUUAUCAGAUCAUAUUUAUUACUCAUGUUUUAAAAUGUUUUUAGCUUUCAGUUUAUUCCAUCUUAUUGGUGAGUCUACUUACAAUUAGUAUGUAUGUUUUACAAUUACGUAUGAAAUUAGUUUUACUAAUUGCAUUCACCCCUGCAUACUCAGUAUAUUCCAGAAGUAUUGAUCCAUAUAUACGCCUGUGUGGCUACAUUUUCUCAUAAUAUAGGUACCAGUUAUAGCCUACGUAUCACGAUCAGACAAUUGUAGAUUCUAGAUAGCUGGUGAUAAGUUCUCCUACUUCAGGAACUCCAGACAGUUUUAGUUUAUGUACAGUUUAUUUACUUUCAUAUGUAUUGAUUAGUGGUAGUUGGAGGUAUAUCCCAACUAUCGAUAGUCAGUAUAGUAGAGGCUUCGUAGAUAUCAGUCAGAGUCAGUUAUGUAAAUUUCAAUUUCAUCCUUCAGAUAUAUCAGAUUGUAAAACUUCAUCAGUAUUAUAUCUAUUUUAGAUCUUUAGUAAGACUAUGUUUCCGCAUAGCAAACAAUUAUUUAUUAUGCCAUAAUUCAGUUGCUUAAUAGUAUGCCAGUUCAUGGGUUAGCUUGGGAUCACUUGUGGUUCCAAGCACCGUGUGACAUCUCGAGACAGAUUUUUAGGGUAUUACAAACUUGGUAUCAUAGCACAGAGUUCAAGUUUCCUAGGGUGUCUAUGAAACCGUGUCUAGUAGAGUCUUGCGAAAUAGUACAGAGACAUCUAUACUUUUCUUCGAGAGACUACAAGGCAUUUAGAAAAUAUUUCCCUUUUUUUCAAGUCUCAGAUCGUGCAGUAGAAGUAAUAUCUAAGAAAUUUAUACAGAUCCUCAUCUUUCUCUAUUUACGCUAAGUCUGCCUUAGUUUUGAGGCAACAGAAAUAGUGAAGCUUAAGUCAUUACAGAUAGUGUUUUCUCAGCCAGUCCCUACGGAUAACUCUGGGAUUGUAUGUUAGCUCAAAAAGUAUCCCAUCAGUGUCCUUAUGUCCUAAAUUUUGAAAUAUUUCAUUCAUGUUUAUGAAAAUCAUGCAUUAAGUCAAAUUCAAAUGUGCUUUCAUAUUUCUUCUCAGAAUCUCUUUUUCAGUAUGUGUCUAGAAUUAGAAUCAUGAACCUAGAAGUUUAGCAGUAGUAAAGUUGGGAUAGUGUUAUCCAAAUUAAGUAGACUAUAUAUUCAUAGGGCUAGUUGUAAGAGAGGUGAAUCUGUAGGCUUGAAUAGUGUAUGCAUGAAUUUAAGUUUGUUGAUUCGAGAUUAAGUAUGAUGGUAUAGAUGAGUUUAUCAUUCAUGUGUAUUAUUAUAGCCCAGACCCUAGAGUAAAGUGAUUGUAGUUCAGUUUAGAGUUUAGUAAAGUGGUCAAAGACUUAAGAUGUUGGCUUAAAGCUAAGGGGGAGAUGAUAGAACAAGUGAUCAAGUCAGGGCCUCAGAUUCUAGUAGUAGUGCCAAUGGGUGCAGAAAAGCAGUAAGGGAGGAUAAUUCCCAACCUAUUCUUAUCUCAGUGCGAAGGUUUUUAGCCAUCAUAAUAUCUACUCAUACAUAACAUGUCAGCUCCCUCAUUAUAGCUCAUAUUUAUGCACUUUAUAGAAAAACCAUGUACGCUUUCAGUUUCUAGUAUGAGGAGUUCCAGUUCACUCGGCAGUAUAAAUCAUGUUCCGUGAAAUCAUAACUCCAAACUCAGGUCAUACAGCUCAUGUCUCACGUACUCAUGUUUUACAGUAUGAUUAGAUCCAGAUACUCAUGUUUCUUUCAUAAUGAUCAACGAAAUUCAAUUUAUAUCAUGUGUGUCAUCAAUUCGGACCUCUCUGAUGAAUUCAUGUCAUUGAUACUUUAUUCCUUAGGCCUCAGUUGAGUGUCAAAGUUAUUCCUUCAUACUUCAGGUCCUCAUGUUCUAACUUUCAGUGACCUCUCCUUAUGUUAUGAUUAGUUGAGAUUCUAUGUGUGUUUUCUUGGGCUAAUGUAUGAAAGUUUUAGGGAUAGAUGUUUAGAGAAAAUGAGAAAGAUCUUCUCAUGGUUAUUUGACUACAAGUUCAUAUGUGGUUGUGAAGAUAGGCUUGAAUGUCAUGUUGGUGUACAAGUAGAAUGUAUAGCUGAGUAUAAGAUUUCAGUAUAAUUCAGUCUGUAUAGCCAGCAAUCCAAUCUAGCAGUCAGACAGACAAGUUCCUAUGGUUUUUCAUCUUUCUUAUUCAUGAGGUAAUUCAUUCGUGACCAUGCAAGUCAUAAAUUUAGUUCAGUUCAUGCAUUAUGCAUCAGUUUUAGAUCCCAAAUAUUCAAUUAUAUUUUAGUCUAUAAGUUUCUAGUGCAUCAUCUCAGUUUUUUUUUAGUAUUUCAGCCAAGUCAGUAUCAUUCGGAGGACGAAGUAUUCCAAGAGGGAGAUGUAAUACCCCGAGUAUUCAUGUAUUUAAUCAUUUAUCUCUUCCUCAAGAAACAAGAUCCAUCUUAAAGUAAUGGUUACUCAUCAGUUGACUCCCAUGCUUCUAUCUCAGCCUUAUAAUCAUUCUCAUGUCAGUGCAUGUAUUCACGAAAUCAGUUCAAUUCAUGAUAUUCAUGUCAUAUAUCAUGUUUCAGAAUCAGUUGCAAUCAUAUUUUCAGCCAUGCAUGUUCAGAAUAUGAUUUUAGUUACCUUCGUAUACUAUUCUCAGUCUAACUAGUCUGAUUCGAGGAUGAAUGUUAGUCGUGUAUUCAGGAAUGUCAUGCCUUGUCAGUUUCCUUCUAUCGAGUUCUGGGGGUACUUAUAUCCAAAAAUUUAGCUGUGUGCCUACAAUCAGUGUCAUGUUUUCAAGAUACUCUCAGUCAAGCCAUGAUCCAUAGAAUUCAGUCAGUCUCAUAACUCAAGAAAACUCAGUAAACUCAGUAAUUCCAGUAAUCUCAGAGAUCUCAGAAAUUUAAUAAUCUCUGUAGUAUUUUGUUAGUCAUCGAAACUUAAUGAACUCAGUCCAGCUCAGUUCAAAUAAUCAUGUUCAGUAUCUAUUCAGAUGGGAGUAGGAUUUAGCACCGACUGAACCCAAGGAUGGAAACUCACCUGCUCAUAGAGGGUGUGAUUCUUAGAAGCAAUCCUUGCAUUCCAGAACUAUGUAGCCAGCGUAGGUUAAGAAAUCUAACCUGCCAGUUGAAGGUUGAUGAAGUUGCUUACCUGCUAGUUAAGGGUUCCCACCAUUCUCAUUUGAGUACCUGCCAAUUGAGGGUCACUCACAGCUUGUCCUUAUUGGUGGCGCGAUAUUGAUAUCCUUCUAAUUAAGGUUAUAGAUUGGACGCCAACUCAACUAUAUUACUUUAUUUGGGGCAUGUCAGUUAGAUGACUACUUCCCACAGUUAUAGUUUCAGUCUCAGAAUCAGUGGUAGAACUCAGAUAGUUCUGUAGAAUCAGAACUGUUAGAUACAGUUACUCAGCUCAAUAUAGAACUCAGUUUAAUUCUACAAAUUUAGGACUAUCAAAUACAGUCACUCAGCUCAAUAUGGAACUCAGUAUAGUUCCACAGAAAUAGGACUGUCAGAUACAGUCCCUAAUUUAUCAGUAAUACCGUUAUCAGUAAUCCCAGUUAUUAGUCACUCAAUUAUCAAAACUCAAUAUUAAGUUCCAGUAUAGUCUCAGUUACAGUAUUAGUUACAGUCACAGUCUCAGUCUAGUAAUCAAAUCAGUAACUCAGUUUAGUUUCAGGUUUGCUUGACCAUAGCAUACUUUUAUCAGUUAUCCAGUUAUUAGUAUUUUAGUACCUCAGUUUAUAGACUAUUUUAGAAUCAUGUUAUACGCUUGGUCUUGCAUUCUCAAAAAAUAUAGUUUUUAUGAAUUCAUGCUUAGUUAUCUCAUAUUACUCAGUCAGUCCCUUUCUCAUAUGCAUAAUACUCUAUAGUUUCAGUUCAGUUAUUAAGACUAAGUACAGUCCAGUUUUACAUACCCAGUAUUCAUACAGUAUCAAUGUGUUAUCAUAUCCCAGCUCCAGUUAUACUUAUGCCAUUAAAGUAAGUUUUACAGAAACUAAGUGUAGAGAUUUACCAGCUUAUCAGAUCAUGUUUAUUACUCAUGUUUUAAGAUAUUUUCAGCUUUUAAUUUAUUCCAUCUUAUUGGUGAUUCUACUUACACUUAGCAUGCAUGUUUUAUGAUUACGUAUGAAAUCAAUUUUACUUAUUGCAUUCACCCCUGCAAACUCAGUACAUUCCAGAAGUACUGAUCCACAUAUAUGCCUGUGUGGCUACAUUUCCUCAUAAUGUAUAUACCAGUUAUAGCCUAUACAUCUCGAUCAAAGAGUUGUAGGUUCCAGCCAGCAAGUGACGAGUUCUCCUACUUCGGGAUCUCCAGACAAUUUUAGUUCAUGUUCAGUUCAUUUUCUUUCAUAUCUAUUAAUUAGUGGUAGUUAAAGGCAUGUCCCAACUAUCUCUAGUCAGUAUAGUAGAGGCUUUAUAGAUGUCAUUCAGAUUCAGUUAUAUAAAUUUCAAUUUCAUCCUUCAGAUAUAUGAGAUUAUAAUGCUUCAUCAAUAAUGUAUCUAUUUUAGAUCUUUAGUAAGACUAUGUUUCUGCACAGCAAACAGUUAUUUAUUAUGCCAUAAUUCAGUUUCUUAACAGUAUGCCAGUUCAUUGGUUAGCUUGGGAUCACUUGUGGUUCCAAGCACCGUGUGACAUCUCGAGACAUAUUUUUGGGGCGUUACAAACUUGGUAUCACAGCAUAGAGUUCAAGUGUCCUAGGGUAUCGAUGAAGUCAUGUCUAGUAGAGUCUUGUGAAAUAGUACAGAGAUGUCUGUACUUUUCUUUUAAAGGCGACAAGGCAUUUAGGAAAUGUUUCCCUUAUUUUAAGUCUCAGAUCGUGCAGUGAAAGUAUUAUCUUAGAAAUUUAUAUAGAUCCUCAUCUUUCUCUAUUCACGCUAAGUCUGCCUUAGUUUUGAGGCAACAAAAACUGUGAAGCUUAAGUUCUUACAGACAGUGUUUUGUCAGUCAGUCCUUACAGAUAAUUCUGGGAUUGCAUGUUAGCUCAAAAAGUAUCCCAUCAGUGCCCUUAUGUCCUAAAUUUUAAAAUAUUUCAUUUAUGUUCAUGAAAAUCAUGCAUUAAGUCAAAUUCAGAUGUGCUUUUAGAUUUAUUCUCAAAAUCUCUUUUUUAGUAUGUGGUCUAGAAUUAUAAUCAUGAACCUAGAAGUUUAGCAAUAGUAGAGUUGGGAUAGCGUUAUCCAGAUUAAGCAGAUUAUAUAUUCAUGGGGCUAGUUGUACGAGAGAUGAAUUAGUAGGCUUGAACAGUGUAUGUAAGAAUUUGAGUUUGUUGAUUCAAGAUUAAGUAUGAUGGUGUGGAUGAGUUUAUCAUUCAUGUGUAUUAUUAUACCCCAGACCCUAGAAUAAAGUGAUUGUUGUUCAGUUUAGAGUUUAGUAAAGUGGUCAAAGACUUAAGAUGUUGGCUUAAAGAUAAGGAGGAGAUGAUAGAACAAGUGAUCAAGUCAAGGCCUCAAAUUCUAGUAGUAGUGCCAGUGGGUGCAGAAAAGCAGUAAGGGAGGAUGAUUCCCAACCUAUUCUUAUCUCAGUGUGAAUUUUUUUAGCCUAACAUGUCAGCUCCUUCAUCACAGCUCAUACUUAUACACUUUAUAAAAAAACCAUGUACACUUUUAGUUUCUAGUAUGAGGAGUUCCAGUUCACUAAGCAGUAUAAAUCAUGUUCCAUGAAAUCAUAACUCCAAACUCAAGUCAUGCAGCUCAUAACGCACGUACUCAUAUUUACAGUAUAAUUAGAUCCAGAUACUCAUGUUUCACUUAUAAUGAUUAAUGAAAUUUAGUUUAUACCAUGUGUGUCCUCAGUUCGGACCUCUCUGAUGAAUUUAUGUCAUUGAUACUUUAUUCCUUUGGCCUCAGUUGAGUGUCAAAGUUAUUCCUUCAUGCUUCAGGUCCUCAUGUUCUAACUUUCAGUGACCUCUCCUUAUGUCAUGAUUAGUUGAGAUUCUAUGUGUGUUUUCUUAGGCUAGUGUAUGAAAGUUUGAGGGAUAGAUGUUUAGAGAAAAUGAGAAAGAUGCUCUUAUGGUUGUUUGACUACAAGUUCAUGUGUGGUUAUGAAGAUAGGCUUGAAUGUCAUGUUGGUGUGCAAGUCGAAGGUAUAGUUGAGUAUAAGAUUUCAGUAUAAUUCAGUCUAUAUAGCCAGUAAUCCAGUCUAACAGUCAGACAGAUAAGUUCCUAUGGUUUUUCAUCUUUCUUAUUCAUCAGGUAAUUCAUUCGUGACCAUGCAAGUCAUAAAUUCAGUUCAGUUCAUGCUUUAUGCAUCAGUUUCAGAUCCUAAAUAUUCAAUCAUAUUUCAGUCUGUAAGUUUUUGGUGCAUCAUCUCAGUCUUUCCUUAGUAUUUCAGUCAAGUCAGUAUCAUUUGGGGGACAAAGUAUCCCAAGGGGGAGAUAUAAUACCCCGAGUAUUCAUGUCUUGAAUAUUUUAUCUCUUCCUCAAGAAAUAAGAUCCAUCUUAAAGUAAUGGUUACUCAUUAGUUGACUCUCUCAUUUCUAUCUCAGCCUUAUAAUCAUUCUCAUGACAGUGUAUGUAUUUAUAAAAUCAGUCCAGUUCAUGAUAUUUAGGUCAUAUAUCAUGUUUCAGAAUCAGUUGCAAUCAUAUUUUCAGUCAUGCAUGUUCAAAAUACGAUUUUAGUUACCUUCGUAUAGUACUCUCAGUCUAACCAGUCUGAUUCAACGACGAAUGUUCCCAAGGGGGAGAUAAUAUAAUACCUCGCAUUUUCGGGCAAGUCUAUGAACUGUCGUUCUUAUGUGUAUAAGUUAUAAUUCAAGUGAUUUCCAUGUGAAUACAAGUUUCAAAAUAUUUAUCCUCAUGUUUUAUUUGCUUUUGAGGUUAAAAAUGUUCAUAGGAAUCACUUAGAGCCAAGUUGAGCUAAGAUCAUUUGAUUCGUCCAAAAUUUGAUAUUCGAUUCUACAAGGGUCUACUUUAAACAUAUAUAACUUUUUUUAUACUUGAAAUUUUAUAGAUCAACACCCACAAAAUUGUAUAUAAUUGAAUUAGCUUUCCAACGAUAUCAAUUUUGUCAAAGUCCGAUACGUAAGUAAGAAGUUAUGCCAUUUUUCGUGUAAGGCAGUAAGCCGACGCGAUCUCGAUGCGUCGAGUCCACUGCGCCCCGACAGAAAAAUCUGAAGCGGAUCCAAAGAUGUUUUACAUGUUAAUUCAGUUCCUAAAAAGUCUAGGAACACUUUGGUCAAUUCCCCUCACCCAAAUACUCCCCAAACACUUAAUUUCAACCCCAGAAACAUUAGAUACAUUAUUAAUCAUCUUUUUCUCUCCAACAAAACCCUAGCCUCCUCAGGAACUCCAAGAACUCCAUGAAAUUUUCUUAGAGAAAAGAAUCAAGAAUCAAGUUUCCUAAUUCAAGAAUGCUUUCAAGUUUGUCUUUCUCCUUCAAGAUUAAAGCUUUAAGGUAUGUGAGAGUUCAUCCAUGGGUCUUCUUUCACCCAUGGAGCCCAAAACCCAAAUUUUCAAGUUUAAAGUUAUAAUUUUUGCAUGUUCCAAUGAAUUUUGUUUAUAAAUUUUCAUGAAUCUCAAGCUUACAUCAUGUUUCCAUGAAAUUGUGGGUGAUAUUAAACCUUACACGUUUGAAUGGUAUUGUAUGAUAAAUUUAUACCCUAAUUGGUGAUUUUAGAGGUGGAAUCAUGCCAUUACUACUAUUUUUAACUAUUCUCAUGCUUGGACUAAACCAUGAAUUACAAGUGUUUGAUGAAAUGCCUCCAAGAAUGAUUUUUGAACAAAGGCUUACAUAUCGUGAUUUAACUAGUUUCAAGAUGAAUCCCAAAGUUAUGAAUUUUGCCCUGUAACUCUAUUAUUCCCUCAUGAUUAAGACUUUCUUAUGUUCAAGUUAUGAAUUUUACAUAUUUUGAUGAAAACCCAUAUCCUAUUUCACGUGAAUUCUACAUAAAUCCUCAAAUCAUAAUUUUAGUUAUGUACGCAGUUAUGCUCCCAUGUUUUUAAGAUAUUCCCAUGUCCAAGUAUUAACAUCCAUGUGCUUGAUAGAAUGCCCAUGUGAAUUGAAUAGGGUAAUCAUGAUAUGUUACCAUGUGUUCUCAUCCAUGUAUAAGUCCAUAACCUCUAAAUGUUUGACAAAAUGUCUAAAUAAAAGCAUUUGUUGACAAUUGACUAUUGUUAUGCUAUUAUGAUAAUCAUGUGUUUCAUGAAAUCCCCAACUUAUUGUAUUAUAGAUUGUCGAUGUUGGUCAUGUAUUCAAGAAUGUUAUGCCUUGUCAGUUUCCUUCUAUCAAGUCCUGGGGGUACUUACACUCAAAAAUUUAGUUCUGUGCCUAGAAUCAAUUUCAUGUUUUCAAGAUACUCUCAGUCAAGCCAUGAUCCAUAGAAUUCAGCCAAUCUCAUGACUCAGGAAAACUCAGUAAUUCUAGUAAUCUCAGAGAUCUCAGAAAUUCAGUAAUCUCAGUAGUAUUCCAUCAGUCAUCGAAACUCAAUGAACUCAGUCCAGGUCAGUUCAAAUAAUUAUGUUCAGUGUCCAAGAAUGGAAACUCACCUGCCAGUAGAGGGUGUGAUUGUUAGAAGCAAUCCUUGUAUUCCAGAACUACGUAGCCAGCGUAGGUAGAGACAUCUAACCUGCCAGUUGAGGCUUGAUAAGGUGUUUUACCUGUCAAUUGAGGGUUCCACCAUUCUCAUUUGAGUACUUGCCAGUUGAGGGUCACUCACAGCUUGUCCUUAACAGUGGCGCAGUAUUGACACCCUUCCAAUUUGGGGUUACAGAUUGGACCCCAACUCAGCUAUAUUGCUUUAUUUGGAGCAUGUCGGUUAGAUGACUAUUUUCCACAGUUAUAAUUUCAGUCUUAGUCUCAGAGAUAGAACUCAGAUAGUUCUACAGAAUCAGAACUAUCAGAUACAGUCACUCAGCUCAGUAUAGAACUUAGUUCAGUUCUACAUAUUCAAGACUAUCAAAUAGAGUCACUCAGCUCAGUACGGAACUCAAUAUAGUUCCACAGAAAUAGAACUGUCAGAUACAGUCCCCCAUUUAUCAAUAAUAUAGUUAUCAGUAAUCUCAGAUAUCAGUCACUCAGUUAUCAGAACUUAGUAUUCAGUUUCAGUAUGAGUCUCAGUUACAGUAUUAGUUACAGUCUCAGUCACAGUCUCAGUCUAGUAAUCAAAUAAGUAACUCAGUUUAGUUUCAGGUUUGCUUGACCAUAGCAUACUUUUAUCAGUUAUUCAGUUAUCAGUAUUUUAGUACCUCAGUUUACAGACUAUUUCAGAAUUAUGUUAUACGCUUGGUCUUGCAUUCUCAAAAAAUAUAGUUUUUAUGAAUUCAUGCUCAGUUAUCUCAUGUUACUUAGUCAGUCUCUUUCUCAUAUGCAUAAUACUCUACAGUUUCAAUCCAGUUAUUUAGUUUUACAUACCCAGUAUUCAUAAAAUAUCUAUGUGGUAUCAUAUCCCAGCUCCAGUUAUACUUAUACCAUUAAAGUAAGUUUUAUAAAAACUAAGUGUAGAGAUUCACCAGCUUAUCAGAUCAUGUUUAUUACUCAUGUUUUAAGAUGUUUUCAUCUUUCAGUUUAUUCCAGCUUAUUGAUGAGUCUACUUACACUUAGCAUGCAUAUUUUACGAUUACGUAUGAAAUCAAUUUUUGUUAUUGCAUUCACCCCUGCAUACUCAGUAUAUUCCAGAAGUACUGAUCCACAUAUACAUCUAUGUGGCUACAUUUCCUCAUAAUGUAGGUACCAGUUAUAGCCUACGCAUCAUGAUCAGACAGUUGCAGAUUCCAGCCAGCAGGUGAUGAGUUCUCCUACUUCGGGGACUCCAGACAGUUUUAGUUCAUGUACAGUUCAUUUACUUUCAUGUGUAUUGAUUUGUGGUAGUUGGAGGCAUGUCCCAACUAUCUAUAGUCAGUAUAGUAGAGGCUUCUUAGAUGUCAGUCAGUCAGUUAUGUAAAUUUCAAUUUUAUUCUUCAGAUUUAUCAGAUUGUAAAGCUUCAUCAGUAUUGUAUCUAUUUUAGAUCUUUAGUAAGACUAUGUUUACGCACAGCAAACAGUUAUUUAUUAUUUCAUAAUUCAGUUGCUUAACAGUAUGCCAGUUCAUGGGUUAGCUUGGGAUCACUUGUGGUUCCAAGCACCGUGUGACGUCUCAAGAUAGAUUUUUGGGGCGUUACAUAAUACGUAUGUAUAUUACGAAUAUAACUUUUUAAAAAAAUUAGAAUAUAUACAUAUCAAUUAUCAUUCUGGAUACGACUAGAUGAUUCAUUACCUAAUAUGAAUAGAUGAUUCAACUAGACAUACAAAUUAACACCAUUAUCAUUUCGGAUACGAAUAGAUGAUUCAUUAUCGCCGACACCAUAGCAUACAUCAAUUAAUUUUUGAGUUGCGUCAAUGUCUAAUUCAGCAGCAACUGUUGAAAUCAACCUCAAAUACGUUACUAAUUCUGCGACAACAAUCCCUUCACUUUUGUACUUAACAUAUUUUAUUUCGGAUUUUCAUUCACCAGAGUGUCUCAAAAGAAUUGCACUAUUCAUCUUCUUGAAUAAAAAUAAAUUCAUUUUCUUAAAGAGAUCAUAAAUCAGUGAUUACAUUGUUUGUGAUUGCUAUUAUUUGAUUGAUUUUUUUAAUGUGUUGUUAUUUUUAAAAUUUGAAAUAGUAUAGUUGUUACACAAAUUAAGCAAAAUAAUAAUUCAUCCUUAAUGUUGUUGUCUUAACUAUGUGCUAAAUAGAAGGAAGAUCAGUUAAUUUUUUCUUAGAACGUCAUAAUUAGAUUUUCAUAUACAUAGUCUUAUUUAUAUAACGGUUGAGUUAUGUAUAUUAAUUAGGAGAGAGAAUAAAUUAAUUAAAAAGAUGGGAGAGAAAGUAAUUAUGUUUAAUAGGGUUGGGAUUUAUGUUAUUUAUACAUAUAUAAAUGUGCUCUUUAAUUUGAUAUCAAUGUUACUUAUGGCCUUUAAUUUUGGAUUUGCAUAAAUAGAAACCUAAACUUAUAUAAAGUUGAAUAAGUAGACGCAUGCAUCCUACGUCGAGUCUUAUAUGGCAAAUUGCAUGUUACAUAUAUUAUGCCACAUAGAAAGCAUGUGGAUAUAUACUCGAUUAAGUUUAUACAAGUUUAAAUGUCUAUUUGUGCGCAUCAACAGUUGAAGAGCAUGGAUAUCAUCUAAGAAUCUAAGACCAAGUUAAAAGUACACAGUUAUAUAUUAAGUAAAUCAUGAACUUCUCUUUUCGAAAGCUUUUCAUAUGUUCAAUGGUGAAGUUUAAUUUAGUUCCACUUUCUUCCUUCAAUAUUUCAGAAACAUAAAAUUCAAAGAAUGAGAAGAGGAUUAUCUCUUUAAAAUUGGUAAGGUUUUAAUUAGAUAGGAAAAAAAUCAAUUUUAUCAUGCAUUCUCUUCUAUGACAUUCUAUGACAUUAAUAAUUAAUCCUUUUUAUCUUAAUUUUUCUCAAUUUCAAGUAAGUUCGAUCGAAUAUAAAUCAUCACUUUUCAUGUCUUACUACCAUUAAUAAGUGUGAAGAAGCAGUCACCUUUUCAUCGACGUACCUGCUUUCAAUCGAAUUACUAUAUUAGCCCUAAUUAAACAUUAUAAGUCAUUUAUAUAUUAAAAAUUAAUAAUAUUUAAUAAAAUAAAAGUAAAAUAGACAUUUAUGACAUGUCUGCUUCGACUUUUUCAAUCGUGAUUUUAUUAUAUCACCCCUAAUAAAUUAUUAUAAGUUAUUUUAUUAAAAAAUUAAUAAUAUUUAAUAAAAAAGAUAAAAUAGACAUAAAAUGAUAUAUUAAUUCUUGAUGUUUUAAACUAACUUGACGUCUUAUAUGAGGCUCACUUAAAUUAUUUUUUCACAAGUAUUUUUUAUAGUAAUUUUAUUAUAUCACUCCUAUAAGUUAUUAUAAGUCAUUUAAGACAUACCUGCUUCGCUGCUUCAAUCGUGAUUUUACUAAAUUAUCCCUAAUUAAUUAUUAUGGCCAUGUAAUUAUAAAUCAGAAUAAUUAAAAACUUAAAUUGUUUUUAAAAUAAUGCCACAAAAGAUUGGACAAGGAGAGUAAUAUAUAUUAUUUGAAAAUUACAUAAAAAAUAUUAUAAAUUACAAUAGAUACAAUUUAAAAUAUCUUUUAAAAGUUUAAUUUGUUAUGUAUUUCAAAAAAUACGUGAAAAAUAAUAUAGAUCACAAUAAUUAACAACUUGAAAAAUUUAAAAGAUAUAAAAUAUUUGGCUGACUCUCAAAAUUAUAUCGGUGCCACUUAAAAUUGGAAUAGAUGAAUAAGUAUUAUAAAUGAGAAUAAAUAAAAACUUAAACAACAACAUAUGCAGUAUAUUCCCACCAAGUGGGGUCUGGGGAGGGUAAAUGUAGCAGUUCAUACCACUACCUCAAAUAUGAGAUAAAGAGACUGUUUUUGAUAGAACCCGACUGAAAAUAAAAUAAUCUAAGAUAAGAAAUAGUAAAAGAACAAGAUAAAAUAGAAAUUAGCAUAUUCAAUAAUACCAUAAACAAGAUACUCCAAGUAACACACCAAAAUAUAAAAUGUCCUAAACUCAGACUAACCUUCUACCCUAAUCUGCCUCCUCUACAACUUCUUAUCCAGGAUCAUGUCCUCGAUAAGCUGAAGAUGCUCCAUGUCAUGUCUAAUCACCUCCCUCCAAUAUUUCUUUGGUCUACCUCUACCUCGCUUGAAACCAUCUCUAGUCAAUCUCUCUCACCUCCGCACUGGGCAUCCAUGCUCCUUUUUAUCACAUAACCAAAUCAUCUCAACCUAGCUUCCCUCAUCUUGGCUUUUACCGAAGCCCCUCCUACCUUAUCUCAAAUAACCUCAUUUCUAAUUUUAUCUUUCCUAGUACACCCAUACAUCCACCUAAGCAUUCUUAUCUCCGUCACCUUCAUCUUCUGGAUAUGGGCCUUAUUAACAGGACAACACUCCACCCCAUAUAAUAAAUCCGGUCUAACCACCACUCUAGAGAACUUGCCUUUAAGCUUGGGAUGUACCUUUUUGUCAUAUAAGAUUCCAUAGGCGAGCCUUCAUUUCAUCCACCCUAUCCCAAUCCGAUGAGUGACAUCUUCAUCAAUCUCUCCAUUCUUUUAAACCAUAAACCCCAGAUACUUAAAACUAUCUCUCUUACUGAUUGAAUAAGUGUCAAGCUUAACAACCACAUCGGACUUAUGAGACACCUCGCUGAACUUACACUCCAAAUAUUCCAUCUUGGACCUGCUCAACCUAAAUCCUUUAGACUCCAGAGUUUGCCUCCAAACCUCCAAUUUUGCAUUAACUCCACUAUGUGUCUCAUCAAUCAAGACUACAUCAUCUGUAAAAAGCAAAUAAUAAGGCACCUCACCUUGAAUGUGCCACGUUAAAACAAUCAUCACCAAGGCAAAAAGAAACGGACUAAGUGAUGAUCCUUAAUGUAACCCUAUCAAGACGGGAAAGUGCUCCAAGUCCCCUCCCCAGUUCUAGUCCGAGUCUUGGCUAUGUCGUCCAUAUCCUUAAUCAUCCUAACGUACACUAUAGGUAUAUCUCUAGCCUCCAAAGUACCUCCCUGAAAACUCUAUCAUAGGCCUUCUCUAAGUCGAUAAACACCAUGCACAAAUCCUUCUUCCUUUUCCUAUACUGCUCCACCAGUAUCCUGACGAGAUAAAUGGCUUCAGUAGUCGAGCGCCUUGGCAUAAAUCCAAACUGAUUUUCAAAAAUAAUAGCAUUUCUCCGCAACCUCAACUCUACCACCCUCUCCCAAACCUUCAUAGUGUGACUCAAGAACUUGAUACCCCUAUAAUUAUUGCAAUCUUGAAUGUCGCCCUUAUUCUUAUAAAAUAGAAUAUCGUACUCCAUCUCCAAGCUUCAGGCAUCUUCAUCAUCUUGAAAAUCAUGUUAAACAACCAAGUCAACCACUCCAUAUCUACCCCUCCUGUUUAAUUCCAAAAAUCUACCAGAACUUUAUCUGGGCCUAGUGCUCUAUCUCUAUGCAUCCUACGAAUAGCCCCCUUAACCUCCUCAACCUUAAUGCGCCUAAAAUAACCAUAAUUACGAAACCUCUCAGAAUGCUCUAAAUCCCCCCAACACAAUGCUAGUAUCCGUUCUUUCGUUCAGAAGCUUAUGAAAGUAAGAUUGUCAUCUCUUUCUAAGAUGACUCUCCUCCACCAAAAAUUUUGCCAUCCACAUUCUUAAUACAAUUCACCUGAUCUAAGUCGCGAGCCCUCCUCUCCCUAACCUUGGUGAGCCUAUAUAACUUUUAUCCCAACUUUUACUAUCCAACGAUGUGUAUAAAGUCUUGAAAGCAGCAUUCUUAGCCCUUGUGACUGCUAACUUCACCUCUCGCCUAGCAAUCUUAUACUCCUCCCUAUUCUUUCAUUUAUCUUCUUCAUCCUUACUCUCAGCCAACUUUGCGUACGCUUUCUUCUUAGCCUCUACCUUCCCCUUCACCUCUUCGUUCCCUCACUAGUCCCGUUGGUGUUUGCCCAAGCAGCCUCUCGAGACCCCCAACACCUCUCUAGUUGUCUCCCUGAUGCAAACAUACUAUCAACAUCUCCUCCACUCCCCCCAAGCCUUUCUCGCUAUCAACUUAUCAUCUAUAUCCAAUGCACUGGCCAAAGUCAGACUGUCCCAUCUGAUCCUCGGAUGAUCCUCUAUACCUCUUCUCCCCUACUCAUUUAUGAUCUCCAAGUCCAUCACCAAAAGCCUAUGUUGGGUCAAAAGACUCUUAUUUGUUAAGACCUUACAAUCCUUACAAAUACCCCUAUCUCCUUUUCUGAAGAGCAAGAAGUCAACCUGGGUCUUGAUACCAAACUACAGAAGGUAGCCAAGUGAACCUCCUUCUUGGGAAAGUUCGAACUGACUACCACUAAUUCAAAUGCCCGAGCAAAAUCCUGAAGUGUCACUCCUUCAACAUUCCUUAAACCAAACCCAUAGCUUCCAUGCACAUCAUCAUAACCUUUUGAAGAAGACCCCAUGUGCCAGUUAAAAUCGCCUCCUAUGAAAAGUUUCUCAUUACUGGGUACAUCCCUCACCAUCUCAUUCAAAUCCUCCCAAAAUCUCUUCUUCUCUUCAUCAUCCAAGCCUACAUGUGGUGCAUAUACACUAAUAAUAUUCCAAGAAGACCCUCCAAUAACUAGCUUAAUUGACAUCAUCCUAUCAUUAGCCCUCUUAACCUCUACCAUUUGCUUUCUAAAUUCAUCAUUUACUGGAAUACCUACACCAUUUUGUUCCUCACGAUUCCUGAGUACCACAACUUAUAACUAUCUACUACAUUUGCCUUAGUACCUACCCAUUUGGUUUCUUGAAGACAGGCUAUAUUAAUUCGCUUUCUAAGAAUUUUCACUAGCUCUAAUGACUUUUUCGAUAAAGGCCCUAUAUUCCAUGACCCUACUCUCAACCUAUAGUCAUCCUUAGCUCUUUUACCCUUUCUACCCCUGCCCCCACCCUCGUCCACGAUCCCGACCCUGAUCCCGACCCAAGCCCCUUCCAAAGACAUAAACCUACGCCAACACCAUCUAACACAGCCACCAGAGACAGCACAGACCAAUAACACUAAGAGCACAAAGCAACCCAAAAAGUAUUAUCAAGCCCAUACUACAGAACUAAUAAGAACAACGAAAUGGCUAAAACAUAAGAAGAAUUAACAAGUAAAACACUACUAUGAAAUUCAGAAAUAAACAAGUAAAUCGUCACCCACAAACAAGAUAGUCAGCCAAGAUGCGAAGAAAAAUAAAUUCAAAAUAGGAAUAGUAGACAAGACAGCCAGUAGCAGCCACUAGAAUCAAGAAAGCUAUAUCUAGAAGAGAUGGAGCGAGUGCACCUGAUCGAAGCUGGGUCGGUUUACUUGGUUGAGUCGCCGAAUUCUGGUAAUUUGCAGCCAAUAUUGGUCGCCGGAAUCGUGUUGUCGCCGCCUGAGAAGGUAUGUUGAAUCUGAACUUGUAGUACCUGCAACGGGUUAGAAAGAAAGAAAAGAGAGAGAGAGAUCGUCGAAAAUACGUCGCCGAAAAUUAGCGUCAGAACUGCGGCGAUGCAAGGAGUCGCCGACAGAGAAGAAGUCGCGGGCAAAGCAAUCCACCGGAGAGACCGAUCGUGAGCAAGAGGGUCGCCAGUCGUUUGGAUCUGAUUAUCUAAAUUCUAUUUGUAUCACAAAAAUUGAGACAAAAAAUAAUAUAUAUUAAGCCCAUGCUAGCAUCUAAUUUUAUUUACAUUCGUCUAAGUCUGAUAUUAUAUAUUUAAAAAACAUUUAUACUGCAAUAUAUCUUCCAUUAGAAGUGUCCAUUUUCUUUUCUAUUUACCAGUAAACAAACAGUUCAAAAUAAACAUUAGUUCGUCAUAUUGAUAAAGAUUUGCUCGCUCCAUUUUAAAAUAGUUGAUCCUUAUUGACUUAAUACUCCUUUAAGAAAAUAUUUAUUAGAAAUUUAUUUUACUAAAUUAACAUUAUUAAUUAUACUUUAAAAAUAUAAAUUUGAUUAUAUGCACUUUGCAUACGCAUUUAAUAAUAGAGGUAGUAUUGAAAUAUCAUAAUAAAAUUCUCUUAAUUUUAUAAAUAAAACAAUUAUUUUAAAAUAUAUACUCUCUCCAUUCAGAUUUACUUGACACUAAUUUCUAAUUUAAUUUUCAUUUUUAUUUAUUAUUUUUUGACAAAUCAAGAAUAACAUUUUUUUUUCAUAUUUAACCGUUAGCAUUAAUUACUUAUUUUUUAAAUUAUUUUUAAUACUUAUUAUUAAUAUUAACUAACAGAAGUAACAUAAUAAAGUUAUCAUUAACUAGUCCUAUUUUCUUAAUAAAUAUAUUAAAUUAAAAAAUAAUAAAUUAAAUAAAUAAAUAAAUAUUUUUUAAAAUAAACCAACUAAAACGAAAUGAUACACGUGAAUAAAGAUAAACCGUAGUUGAAUGAGAGUUGGGGAAAGUACCACAAUGGUCAAGGAGGUGAUUAAUUACACUACGAUGUGAACAUGGAGUGAAGCGGACAGAUUUUAUAAUGGGACCCAAGAUAUUACUAUUAUUAUUAUUAUUAUUAUAAAACAUAAUAUAAUAUAUUAAAACUUUAAAAUUUUGAAAAUAUCAAAUCACAACAGCAUACUAUAUUCAAUCUUAUCUCAUAUUUCUAUGAAAUAUUAUUUCCAUUGUUUGAACUCAUAAAUUUUUGAAAACAUGAUAUCAAUUCAACCUGUUACUUCAUUAAUAUUAUUAUUUUUUAUAAAUAGAAGGGGUUGUUAGGAAGAGGCCAUCAUCAACCAUUAUCAACAUUGUCCUCUCUUGGUAUCCUAUGAAUCUACUACCCUACCCUUAUUAUUCCCAAACACUUAAAUUUUUCCCAAUUUUCUUGCAAUUUCAAACUUCAAAGAAACCUUCUUCUUCUAGCUUCUACUACACCUGUAAUAUAAAGUGAGUAACUAACUAGUGCCCUUUAUCUAUUACUAUUAGUAGUAUCUGUUAACCUUUUAUUUAUUUGGUUCACAAGCAUCUUUACCAUUUAUGUAGUCUUGAAAAUAAAAGAAAAAAAAAAUCCUUUUUAUGAAGUUCUUGAUGGUAUUAAGUCAAUCUUGAUCUGUAAUUAGAUCUUAGUGUUCAAGAAUUGUGUUGUAUGAUUAUUUUUUGUCAUUUGAUUUGAUUUUUCCUCUUUUUAAUGUUUCUUGAUGAUGGAUAAUUGGCACCAGAUAAAGCUGAAUAUUUUUAAAUUUUGUCUAGUUUUUUUUUUUUUUUUUUUUGGGUGUUUUCUUGUAUAAUUUGCAUUUGGUGGUCUGAGAUUUAAUAUCUUUUCAAGGAUAAAUCUUCAAGAAGUCUUAAACCCAGAAUUUUUUUUCUUGUCAUCCUGAAAAAAUAAAUGAAAUUAUUGCAGUUUUAGCAGAAGGUUUAAAGAAUCUUGGAUCCAUAUUCAUAAAAAUCUGGAUUUGAUUUUUCAUUGGCACAAAACUGAAACUUUUAAAUUAUGGAGUCUUGUUUAGAUGUGUACAUAGCUCCAAUUUUCAGUUCCUGAUUGAGUUUCUGCUUUCUUCCAUCACUCUAGUUACUAUUUUGAUGCAUAUGCUAUUUAUGUUUAGGCUGACAUCUGAAUGACUAAAUCUGCUUGUCUAGGGGGAUGUUCCAUUUAUAAUUGUGUUACUGCUAUAGCCUGUUUAACUUUUCCUCAUAAUUGGCUGAAUUGAUAUAUGUUGCUGCUUGUGUCUAUGCAGGUCCAGUGCACUCGCCUAUUCCAGAAGUUGUUGCUAGAAGAAAAUCUCCUAGUUUCAGCCUAGGUAAACUCUGAUUCCGCAAGUUCUGGUCUUUCCAAUGGUUUCUGUUUGGAUCAUCUUGCUUUCUAUACGGGCAAGAAUAUGGGAAAAAGGGAAAGGAGAGAAAGUGUUGAACCUUAAUACUUACCCUAUUUUUUGUCUUACUUACCUUUUUAGUAUGUUCCAAAAAGAAUGGCUCUUUGCACUUUAGCAAAAAAAAAAGAGAGAGAGUGAAUGGCUCUUUCCAUUUCUGGCAAUUUCUUAACUCCAGUUUUCACACACAUGUUUAGGACCACAAGGUUAAAUGUCAUUUUGAUACAUUCUAUGUAUCUUUAAUUUAAGACCUCAUGAUUCAAAAAGUUUUCCUUACUUUCCGAAACUCCGUGUCAUCUCGGAAGCAGACAAACAAAUUGAAACGGAGGGAGUAUGGUAUUGCAUAUCUUGACUAUCAGUCUUGUUCUGCCAUUACUACCUCUGGGCAAGCUGUUUGUUCCAGUCUACUUGGAAUAUUUAGAGAGAAAUUUUGGGAAGUAAGAUUUAGCUAAAUAUGAACUUAUUUCACUUGGCUGGAAGAUGGAUUUGGACCGACUGUUUUGCUAAAAGUAGAUGAAGCUUGUGGUGUUGCUGUUCUUGUUUGAAAAACUAUUUAUACUCUUUUUUCAUCGGUCAGUUUAUAGUCUUGCCUGGACUUCUAUAUGUCUUUACUCUAAUGGUUGAUUUUUCAUUUUUCAUUUUGUGACUA
rnacentral:lncRNA from 1 species